UCCUCUCUUUUUUUUCCUCUAUCUUUUUUUUCUCCCUCUUUCCAAGACAAACUAGAUAAGAUGCAGAUUGGAUCAGGCGAAGAUGUGAAUGACCUCAACUAUGAUUAUGACAAUGAAUAGUGCGUAGCACGUGGUGGAAAUUAAUGGAUGGGAUGGUGGACAGCGGAAGGGAUAAUGAUGCAGCGGCGGCGUGACUAAUGUGAACAGAACUCGAAACUCUAAAGGAACAAGACACUAAGACCAGCAACUAACACGACGAUGCAACCGAUAAUUCAACUAUGCAAGCAAUGAAUAGAAAAUUGCAAAGGCUCAGACUGGCUUGGAUAAAUGAUGAACAUAUCUAACUUUUUUAUGGCUUUUUCAUGGACUGUAGGUAUGAAUGACAGAUGCGAUCUAAACUAUGAAAAACUGUAAAAUCUCACCGAGCAACCUGAAAACUGAUACCACUUGAUAGAGGCGAGGGUCCCGAUCUUUUGAUGAGAUGAUAACUAUCGAUUUGGUGGAGACGACUUUGACGAUCCGACUACAAACGUGCACGACUAAAUCUAGGUCGUACAAGGCCAAUGGGCCCAAGUGGAGGUGAUGUAACACCUUUGGACUUGUAGUUUGACUCGGAUUCUGCUGCAGCAUCAGAUUGUUUCGUCCACAACUCAACGCUCCGGACGAAUUUGAAGGUGAUUCCAAUUGGGUUGGAAAGUGCACGAAAUCUAGUUUCCAACAAAAAAAGAAUCACCCAAUUCGGAGUCCGGAUGAAAAACUUGUGUGCGUUUUGAGUCAGGUGUGUCUGUGCAGUCCGAAUCUGAAUCCAGAACGUGAGAGACUUGGACUCUAUCUUCUCUUGGGCCAAAAGUGACGUGAGAGAACUUUUUGGACAGCAAAUAAACAUCUCUUUCUUCCUUAUCAUCAUAUGUGGAUUGUACAAAUGUCCCAUACACCUGCAAUUAGACAAAACACAAAAGUGUGUGAAGUAUAUUUGUUCUGGAUAACAUAAAUAGAUUAUUGAAUAGUUUGCACUAGAAAUCACCUGACAAAUAUGCAUAUAUGCAAUAUUUUUGGUCAUAUCCAAGGUAGUCAUGUCCUCAUCAGAACCCCACCUUGAUCAAUAAAGCUUUCAUCUUAUAUUCGCAAUAUCCAGAUUGCAAUCUUAGUUUCUUGCUUGUUCUUCGUUUGCUCGCAGGAAACAGACCCUCGUGGUCAGGUUGAUCGUGCUCCGGCGUGGUCAAUAACCUCUCGGAGUUUGUUUAGCGAUUGCUAAGGCGCGACGUCCUCGCACGUUCGUAGUCGGAUCGUCAAAGUCGACUUCCACCAAAGCGAUAUCCAUCAUCUCAUCGAAAGACGGGACACCUCCGCCUCUAUCACGCUGAGAUUGGCAUUCUCUCGCAAAAUGUCCUCUUCGCUUACAACAAGGACAAAUAAUAUCACUUGUGUGCCCUGUUGAUGCCAUCGAUGAAGAAGAGCUCUUCACAGGUCCGGCAGGUGUGCUCUUGGCAGAUAGUGGUUGUUGUGCCUGCUUUCUUGUAUCACGACUGGAGGUGGUACCUGAUGGAGGUGCUGGUGGAGUGGAAGUAGAGGAUGCACGUGGUGUCCAUGAUGAAGAUCGACCUACAGAAAAAUUUAGUUUGCACCAAUGCCUAUCGAUCCUGCACUUCAUGUUCAGCUUUACAAGCAAGAUGGAAUAAACGAGUGAUAAUAGUAUACUCCUUAUACUCUAGAAUGGUCUGAAUCUCUCUAUUUAAUCCACCCAUAAAACGGGCAAGCAUAGGUUCAUUCUCCUCUACAAUAAACGCUGCAAUUUUUGAAGUAAUUCACGUUGAUAAUAUGGUGGAACCCAACGAGUAUGCAUAGCUGUUUUCAAAGCAGCCCAAGUAGUUGGAAUAGGAUAGAAUCUACAAUGUUCAAACCACCAAACACAUGCAAAGCUAGUGAAAGCACAAACAGCAGCAGGAACACGUCUCUCCUUAGGAUAUUGUAAACAUGUAAAUCGUUGUUCAGUUUCUAAGUCCCAAGUAAGAUAUAUAUCAGGAACAUAUCUACCCUAAAAUUGUGAAAUAUUCAAUUUUAGUUUAGGAAGAUGGUCAUGUACCUCAGGUGGUGGUGCAGCCCUACCGUUGCGAUGAUAUGCAUGAGGACGACCUGGGGGUGGUGGUGCUGGUGGUUGCACGUAGUUCUAAUUUUGGUCAAACUCAUCCUCGUAAUGGUCCUCCACCUCUGCAGUAGCAGCAGGAGCGGAAGAAGCAUCAACAGUGGCACCAGAAUUUUGCCAAGGGUCAAUGGGAACGCACUGUGCUCGUCCCACUUGAUUUGGAAAGCGACGUUGUUGUUGUUGUUGUUGUUGUUGUUGUUGUAGAGGUGCAUUAGGGGCAGCCGGUGGUGGUGUUGGAAGACGCACGAGCAAUUCAUUGAACUUGUUAUCGACCUUUGUUUCGAACACCUUCUCCAUGCCAUCUAUCUUCUCCAUGGCCUCUUCAAAUCUGUUUAGCACAUCUUGCACCUGUCCACUCAUCAUUUGUUGAAAUUUAUCAUGCAACUCCUUAUUCGUCAUGUUCUCCCAGUCAGUCUCGUCGGCUUGUGAUCCUGCCAUGGUUAGCAGCAAUAGAAACACACAAGAGUAUGAUCCUACAGACUACUAACAAGAGGUGGUGGUGGAUGUCACAAAUCUGUUAAGCAAAUCUCAAAUUCUUACCAGUUCUUACCCAGCAGCAGGCAGUGAUCGGCAACCGUCAUAGUCAAAACUCUCAAUGCUUGGAUAGAGCGAUUACCAGGGAGAGUCAAACACACGACGUAGAUGUAUGUGGAGCUUGGAAGGCUUAUAGUAUGGUAGCAAAAAGGUCAGUAAUAAUCAAUUCAGAGAUGUAAAGUUGAAUAAAUGCUCAACGAUGGUACUGUUCUGGUCCUAGGCUAGACCAUACUAGAGACGCGAGCCUAGAACACGAAUAAAAUCACGGCGCGACACGUAAACAAGGGAGGAGCACUCUCUGAAUUUUUUUCUUUUUUCACUUUUUUGCACUUUUUUCCUUUUUUUGCUCCGCAACAAUUUUUUUCCGAAGAAGUCUACAAAUGGUCUAAAAACUGCCUUUCCAGAAUUUUCCAGACUUAGUUUUUUUUGAGUUUGGAACUAUUUUUCUUCUGCGGGUAGCACGGAAUCUCAGGAGUCCUACUCUGUCACGACUCGAAAUAUUGCAUGAUCUGGAACUCAACAACAAAGCAACAAAUACUGGACUCGGACUAGGACUGGUAGCGAAGAUGAAUCUAGUGGAACUCGGACUGGUGGCGGCGAUGAAUCUGGUGGAACUCGGACUGGUGGUUGUAUAUGGCGAUGGUAUAUGGGGACUCGGAUUGGUUAUUGUAUAUGGCGAUGGAUAUGUGGACUCGGAUUGGUGGUUGUAUAUGGCAGCGGCGAUGUAUAUGGUGGGGGUGGUGGUAUAUGGCAAUGAUGAUGACAAUGGUGCGGUGGCGGCGUGACAACCUGUGAAUAGAACUCGAAACUCUAAGGGACUAGACGCUAAGACCAGCAACUCGACACGACGAUGCAACCGCAAAUUCAACAAAGCAAAACUCUAAAAAGACUACGCAAAGGCUCAGAUUGGUUCGGAUAUGAUGAACUAACCCUAAAUUUUUUUGUUGGCUUUUUUCGUGGACUGUAGGUAUGAAGAACAGACUCGAUCUAAAUUAUGAAAACUGGAAAAUCUCACCGAGCAACCUGAAAAUCUGAUACCACUUGAUAGGGGCAAAGGUGUCCCAUCUUUCGAUAAGAUAGUGGCUAUCGUUUUAGAGGAAGUCGGCUUUGACGAUCUGACUACGAACGUGCGAGAACGUUGCGCCUUAGCAAUCGCUAAACCAACUCCGAGGGGUUAUUGACCACGCCGGAGCACGAUCAACCUGACCACGAGGGCAUGUUUCCUGCGAGCAAACGAAGAACAAGCAAGAAACUGAGAUUGCAAUCUGGAUAUUGCAAAUAUAAGAUGAAAGAUUUAUUGACCAAAGUGGGGUUCUGUGACGUCUUGGUCUGGUCGUUGGACACAAACCAAGUACGCGAAGUUGCAGCUAUGGCGAACUUUUAAUCUAAACAAAACCCAAAGUAUAAACGACGCCCUAAGGGCUGUAUAUAUGGAGGAAGAGUGGGGAAUUUCGUGGCCCUUGGAGGAGGGGUCCGAAACCAACCCUAACUCUUGUUUCCCCACACAUACGGACUCUAAAAACAGCGUAUACUUAAGUAUUUCGAAAAUACAUGGGCCUGGCCCAAUAAUAAGGUGACGCAGCACCUAAAAUAGCGUGUGGACGAAAUUUAUGAAGUGGCAUCUUGUAUAUUUCGUCCAAGGCUUCAUGCACUCCUUAUGGUGGCUUCAAAGUCCUGAAAUCAUCACUUGUAACUCCGUUCUGGAUCCCCUUGCGCAUGGCAUCAUCUCAAUGCUUGAACUUGUUCCAAGGUUCAUCUUUCUUGUCCAAGCUAGGCCCUUCAUUUGUAAGCAAGACAAAUGUAUCCAAUUUAGGCAACAUCAUAUUCUCAUGAACAUUAGAAUCGUUACCAAGAAACGAAAGUACCUGAUAAUUCAAUUGGCGUGCGCGAGCUCUAGUAAUUGGUCCAGUAUGUAUAGCAGCAGGGGCUGUGGGUGUAACAAUGGUAUUGAUGUCCUCAUCAGAAAAGAAAAUAAAUAAAAAGAAAAACUAAAACUAAAAUUUAAAAAAAAAGGAGAAAGCCUCCCCCCCCUCAACUGGGCCGACUGGCCAAGGUGGCCACCGCGCGCCCCUUGGGCCUCAACCCACCUGGCCGACCCUGGCCGACCCAACUCCCUCCUCCGGCCCAANNNNNNNNNNNNNNNNNNNNNNNNNNNNNNNNNNNNNNNNNNNNNNNNNNNNNNNNNNNNNNNNNNNNNNNNNNNNNNNNNNNNNNNNNNNNNNNNNNNNNNNNNNNNNNNNNNNNNNNNNNNNNNNNNNNNNNNNNNNNNNNNNNNNNNNNNNNNNNNNNNNNNNNNNNNNNNNNNNNNNNNNNNNNNNNNNNNNNNNNNNNNNNNNNNNNNNNNNNNNNNNNNNNNNNNNNNNNNNNNNNNNNNNNNNNNNNNNNNNNNNNNNNNNNNNNNNNNNNNNNNNNNNNNNNNNNNNNNNNNNNNNNNNNNNNNNNNNNNNNNNNNNNNNNNNNNNNNNNNNNNNNNNNNNNNNNNNNNNNNNNNNNNNNNNNNNNNNNNNNNNNNNNNNNNNNNNNNNNNNNNNNNNNNNNNNNNNNNNNNNNNNNNNNNNNNNNNNNNNNNNNNNNNNNNCACCUCGACCCCCGCUGCCCCCGACCCUACAAAUCGCAGUGAGGCCCCGCCUCCCUCCGCUCCGCACGGUCACCGCACGCCGCCGUUCUGCCCGCCUAUACUCCCUCGCGCCGAGGUGCACGCGCGUGCACGCAGCCACAACCGCGCCCGAAGCUGUGCGAGCUCUGCCUUCCCCGCUACACCUCGCUCGCUCCAUCGCCCUGCCUUGCCUCACUGGCAGCCGCACCCUCCCUGCCGAGCCCGCGGCAACCGCGUUGCCGCUGCUCCCGACCGCGGCUCUCCACGCCCCUGCCACUCUUUCCCCGUACGCCGCGCCUCGUCGGUCGCCCCGCUUGCGCUGCUGCCGCCGGCUGAUUCCGCUGCUGCCCUCGUUCGCCGAUGUGCCGAUGCGUGCUCUUGCGCGCUGCAGCCAGGACCGCGCCGCGCAUCCACCCCCUUCUCUGCCCGACCGCUGAUCACUGGAGCUCCCCGCCGCGCCGCAUUGCUCCCACCGGCCACCUCCGAGCCUCCACUGCACCCCCCCUGCUCCGACCGGCCACAGGCCGCCGGAGCCCCCACGCCGCACGCCCCCCUGCUCCCCCAUGGUGCUCACCUUUGCCCCGGCCAGCGCCCGUUAGCUCCCAGGCGCCCGCUAGUGCCCGCACGCCCGUUCGGGCCACGCCCGAUAGGCCCUUUGGCCUAUGACAAAUGGGGCCCACGCCCAGAACGUUUAAAAAAAGGAAUUAAUAAUAAUAAUAAUAAUAAUAAAUGAAUAAUAAUUAUUUAGUUAAUUAAUUAAUUAAUUAAAGAAUUAAUUAACUUAAUUAAUUUUGAUUAAUUAAACUAAACAACUAAUUAAACUAAUUAAUCAUGAUUAGUUAGUCUAGUCAAUGACGAACGGGACGCACCUGUCAGGUUGACCAAGUCAACUGCGGACGUCAUGCUGAUGUCAUGAUGAUGUCAGCAAACACUAUUCUGGAUAAUGUCGAUUUAAAUAAUUAAAUAAAUACUAAAAAUGAUUUAAAUCUUUUAAAUUAAUAUAAAAUAGACCGUAGCUCGGAUGGGAAAACUUUGUACAUGAAAGUUGCUCAGAACGAUGAGACGAACACGGAUAUGUAGCCCGUUCGUCCGCCACACAUCCCUAGCAUAGCGAACGCGCAACUUUCCACUCCGAUUCAUCUGUCUGAAAACGCGAAACCCCAGGGAUAUUUUCCCGGAUGUUUCCCCCCUUCACCGGUACCACCUCAUACCGCGUUAGGGCACCCCUAGCACCGAUGCUUGUCAUGUCAUGCAUUGCUAUACAUCUGUUUGCUUGAUAUUUAUUGUUUCUUCCCCCUCUUCUCUCGCUAGACACCGAGACCGACGCCGUUGCUACUUAGUACAAGUACGGUGUUGACGACCCCUCCCUCUUGCCAAAGCAACCAGGCAAGCCCCCCCCCCCUUGAUCACCAGAUAUCGCCUACUCUUCUCUCUACUGUUUGCAUUAGAGUAGUGUAGCAUGUUACUGCUUUCCGUUAAUCCUAUUCUGAUGCAUAGCCUGUCAUUGUUGCUACAACUGUUGUUACAUUUACCUGCAAUCCUAAUGCUUAGUAUAGGAUGCUAGUUUAUCAUCAGUGGCCCUACAUUCUUAUCCGUCUGCCAUGCUAUACUAUCGGGCCGUGAUCACUCGGGAGGUGAUCACGGGUAUAUACUAUAUACUUUAUACAUGAUACCUGUGGUGACUAAAGUUGGGUCGAUUCGUAGAGUACCCACGAGUGCUUCCGGUGUGGGGGAUGAAAGGGCAUGUGGUUCCACCCAGGUAGUGGUGGGCCUAGGUUCCCGACAGCCCCUGGUUGUUACUUGUGGCGAAGUGUCAUGGCAGGUUGAGACCGCCUAGGAGAGAGGUGGGCCUGGCCAUGGUCGGCAUUCGCCAUUACUUCUAAAUAACACGCUUAACGAGAUCUUGGUAUUUGAUCUGAGUCUGGCCACUGGCCUAUACGCACUAACCAACUACACGGGAACAGUUAUGGGCACUCGACGUCGUGGUAUCAGUUGAAGCCUUCGUGAUGUCAGCGACUGAGCGGCACGGGCCUGGUUGGACCGCGUAACAUAACUUCCUUUGUAAUGGAGGUUGCUAGGUCUGCUCUCCGGCUGCCCACGCAACAUGCAGGUACGCAAUGGGCCCAGACCCCUGCGCACAGGAUUUAGACCGGCGUGCUGACCUCUCUGUUGUGCCUAGGUGGGGCUGCGACGUGUUGAUUUUCUGAGGCCGGGCAUGACCCAGGAAAGUGAUGUAGAGCAUCCCAAGAACAUCCCCAUGGACGCACCUACACCUCCAACGACACCACUUGGACCAACGACACGAGCCCGAGCCAAGGCUAUCGAAGAUAAGGUGAACUCACUCCUCUCCGAACUUCCACUUUCUAUGCAUGAGACAUGGCUACUACCUAAGUCCGAGAUGUUGUGCAUGAUUAGGUACCAAGAGGGUCCUCCCGAAGAUGUGCAUGAAGAUGGACAAGUCCCCAAGUCCACGGAUGAGGACAACCAACGGAAGGAGCCAAGAGCAUCUCCCAGGCCCCGGACAUCCGGCCAAGGCCCCGGACAUCCGGCCAAGGCCCCGGACAUCCGGCCCCUGGAGCGCCUUCCUCUUCAGCUGCUCAGCCUCCAUGUGCCUACAGGCCCUGGACAUCCGGCCCGCAAACCCGGAUGUCCGGCCCUUCCCGAGGCCCCGGAUAUCCGGCCCCCUGCCCGGAAAUCCGGACCCUCCCAAAUCCGAGAGCAACAUGGCCAGCUUCACCAGCCCGGACAUCCGGCCCCCACAGCCCGGACAUCCGGCCCUCCGCGAACGCCCGGACAUCCGGCCCGAGGCCCGUGUAUCCCCUUCUCCCCCUAGACUAUAUAUACUCUAUCCCGUACAACUUUCUAGGGUCUACUCCUCGUGAUACUUAGAGAUAGAGCUUCGCUCAUCCACAUCGGAUCUACUCCUCGUGAGAGACCGCGGCCUCUUCGGAGAAGAUCCCUUUGGAUUCAAGACCUCCUUGCGGAGAAGAACUUCAAUACCUCCUCGGAUCUACUCCUCGUGAGAGACCGCGGCCUCUUCGGAGAUGAUCCCUUUGGAUUCAAGACCUCCUUGCAGAGAAGAACUUCAAGACCUCCUUGCGGAGAAGAACUUCAAGACCUCCUCACGGAGAAGACCGGCUACCCUUGUAUCGUUCUUAGUUGUUCGUGGAUUCGUGUAUCAUUCUAUGUAUCCGAGGAUCUAGCACAUGUGUGACUUGUUCUUGUUAGUUUGAGUGUUCCUCUUGUGUUUCCCCUUGUGCCUUCCCCCAUUUUCCCUCGUUUCCCUCUUUGUGUUCCUCGUGUUAUUCGCGGGAUCCGCUCCUUUCAUGAAAGAUCGGGCGAUUAGGGUUCUACCCUACAUCAUCUUGGUAUCUAGAGCCACGUUGAUCACGAUUUUGGAGCCUCCCCGUUGUGUUUCUAGCCUUGUUUUGUUGUUUUUCGUCCUAAUUUGAAAAUUCCCCACAAAAAAUAGCCCCAAAUUUUGUUUUUGUGAUUUGUUGGUGUGUUGAGAUUUUGUUGGUUUGGAUCUGUGGAUUUGCUUUGUUUUGAGUGGAUCUAGCUUCCAAUCCUUUUUCCCCCAAUUUCCAUCCACAAAUUCCUCUGAAUUUCACCCGAAUUUAACCUCCCCACGCGGUGUUCAUCCCAUUCGUCCCCGGAUCCAGAGCCCGGACAUCCGGCCCCAUCCGGACAUCUGGCCUUCCACCCGGACAUCCAGCCCCUGGCAGCAACAUCUCCAUCCACCGACCCAUUUUUCCGCCCAAUUUCCACCAAAUUUUAUUCCGGUAUUCACCAUAUAUGAUGAGGACAUCAAUACCAAUGUUACACCCACAGCCCCUGGUGCUAUACGUACUGGACCAAUUACUAGAGCUCGCGCACGCCAAUUGAAUUAUCAGGUACUUUCGUUUCUUGGUAAUGAUUCUAAUGUUCAUGAGAAUAUGAUGUUGCCUAAAUUGGAUACAUUUGUCUUGCUUACAAAUGAAGGGCCUAGAUUGGACAAGAAAGAUGAACCUUGGAACAAGUUCAAGCGUGGAGAUGAUGCCAUGCGCAAGGGGAUCCAGAACGGAGUUACAAGUGAUGAUUUCAGGACUUUGAAGCCACCAUAAGGAGUGCAUGAAGCCUUGGACGAAAUAUACAAGAUGCCACUUCAUAAAUUUCGUCCCGAGGCUAUUAUAGGUGUUGCGUCACCUUUUUAUUGGGCCAGGCCCAUGUAAUUUCGAAAUACAUAAGUAUAGGCUAUUUUUAGAGUCCGUAUGUGUGGGGAAACAAGAGAUAGGGUUGAUUUCGGACCCCUCCACCAAGGGCCACGAAAUUCCCCUCUCUUCCUCCAUAUAUACAGCCCUUAGGGCACCGUUUAGAUUUUGGGUUUUGUUUAGAUUAAAAGUUCGCCAUAGCUGCAACUUCGCGUACUUCGUUUGUGUUCAACGACCAGACAAAGGCGUCACAGAACCCCACCUUGAUCAAUAAAGCUUUCAUCUUAUAUUCGCAAUAUCCAGAUUGCAAUCUCAGUUUCUUGCUUGUUCUUCGUUUGCUCGCAGGAAACAGACCCUCGUGGUCAGGUUGAUCGUGCUCCGGCGUGGUCAAUAACCUCUUGAAGUUGGUUUAGCGAUUGCUAAGGCGCGACGUCCUCGCACGUUCGUAGUCGGAUCGUCAAAGUCGACUACCACCAAAGCGAUAUCCAUCAUCUCAUCGAAAGACGGGACACCUUUGCCUCUAUCAAGUGGUAUCAGAUUUCCAGGUUGCUCGGUGAGAUUUUACAGUUUUUCGUAGUUUAGAUCGAGUCUGUUCUUCAUACCUAUAGUCCACGAAAAAGCCAAAAAAAAUUAGGGUUAGUUCAUCCCAUCCGAACCAAUCUGAGCCUUGCAUAAUCUUUUCUGUAUUUGCUUUGUUGAAUUUGCGGUUGCAUCGUCGUGUCCAGUUGCUGGUCUUAGCGUAUAGUCUUUUAGAGUUUCGAGUUCUGUUCACAGGUUGUCACGUCGCCGCUGGCAUAUAUCACCACCGCAUCAUCAUCGUCGAUGUUGCCAUAUACCACCACCACAUAUUCACCGCCAAUCCGAAUCCAUAUACGCCACCACAUAUCCGCCGCCAUCACGCCAAUCCGAGUUCACCUGCAACAUAUAUCCGCCACCUGUCCGUGUUCCACCAGAUUCAUCUCCGCCACCAGUCCGAGUUCCACCAGAUUCAUCUCCGCCACCAGUCCUAGUCCGAGUCUAGUAAUUGUUGCAUUGUUCUCGAUUUCCAGAUCACGCGAUACUCCGAGUCGUGACAGAGAAGGACUCCCCAACUUCUGAGCCAUCCGCAGAAGAAAAAUAGUUCCAAUUUCAAAAAAAAAGAGGAAAAAAGUGCAAAAAAAAGAGAAAAAAAAAUUCAGAGUGUGCUCCUCCCUUGUUUACGUGCCGCGCCGUGAUUUUGUUGGUGUUCUAGGCUCGCGUCUCUAGCACAGUCUAGCCUAGGACCAGCACAGUACCGUCGUUGAGCGUUUAUUCAACUUUGCAUCUCUGAAUUGAUUAUUGCCGACCCUUUUUGCUACCAUAUUAUAAGCCUUCCCAGCUCCACAUACAUCUACGUCGUGCGGUUGACUCUCCCUGGUAAUCGCUCUAUCCAAGCUUUGAGAGUUUUGACUACAACGGUUGCCGAUCACCGCCUGUUGCUGGGUAAGAACUGGUAAGAAUUUGAGUUUUGCUUGACGGAUUUGUGACACCCACCACCACCACUUGUUAGUAGUCUGUAGGAUCAUAUUCUUGUGUGUUUCUAUUGCUGCUAACCAUGCCAGGAUCACAAGCCGACGAGAUUGACUGGGAGAAUUUAUCGAACAAGGAGCUUCAUGAUAAGUUUCAGCAAAUGAUGACUGAACAGGUGCAAGAUGUGCUGAACUAUUUUAAAGAGGCCAUGGAGAAGAUCACUGGCCUUGAGAAGACGUUCGAAACAAAGCUCGAUAACAAGUUUAAUGAAUUGCUCGCGCGUCUUCCACCACCACCACCCGCUGCACCUAAUGCACCUCUCCAACAACAACAACAACGACUACCUCCACAUUGCGAAAUAGACCUUCGCCGAGCGAGUCGUGUUCCUCUUGCGUUUGGCCAAACUGUUGGUGCUGCUGUUGAUACUUCUGUGGUUCCUGCUGCAGAUGCGGAGGAGGAUGAUUAUGUGGGAGAUUAUGAGGAUGAGGUUGAUCAAAAUCAGCACUACGUGCAGCCACCUGCACCACCACCAGCAGGUCGACCUCAGGUAUAUAUUCGUAAUGGUAGGCCUGCACCACCACCUCAGGUACGAGAUGAUGUCCAUAUUCCUAAACUGAAAUUGAAUAUUCCACCAUUUGAGGGUAGAUAUGUUCCUGAUAUAUAUCUUACUUGGGAGUUAGAAACUGAACAACGAUUUACAUGUUUACAAUAUCCUGAGGAGAGACGAGUUGCUGCUGCUGUUUGUGCUUUCACUAGUUUUGCAUGUGUAUGGUGGUCUGAACAUUGUAGAUUAUAUCCUAUUCCAACUACUUGGGCUGCUUUGAAAACUGCUAUGCGUACUCGUUGGGUUCCACCAUAUUAUCAACGUGAAUUGCUUCCAAAAUUACAGCGUUUAAGACAAGGGAAAAAUUCUGUAGAAGAAUAUUAUCAGGAAUUACAAACUGGCAUGAUUAGAUGUGGUAUUGUUGAGGAGAAUGAAGCUAUGCUUGCACGUUUUCUGGGUGGAUUAAAUAGAGAGAUUCAGACCAUUCUAGACUAUAAGGAGUAUACUAAUAUCACUCGUUUAUUCCAUCUUGCUUGUAAAGCUGAACGUGAAGUGCAGGAUCGACAAGCAUUGGGGCGAACUAACUUUUCUGCAGGCCGACCUUCAUCAUGGACACCACGUGCAUCUUCUACUUCAACUGCACCAGCACCUCCAUCCGGUGCCACCUCCAGCCGUGAUACAAGAAAACAGGCACAACCACCAUUAUCUGCCAAGAGCGCACCUGCGGGGCCUGCACAGCGUUCUUCUUCUUCCAUGGCAUCAACAGGGCACACAAGUGAUAUUAUUUGUCGUCGUUGUAAGGGAGGAGGUCAUUAUGCGAGAGAAUGCAAAUCUCCGCGUGUGAUGAUUGCUACCGCGGAUGGUGGAUAUGAGUCCGCUAGUGACUAUGAUGAGGAGACUUUGGCUCUUAUUACACGUGAAGAACAUGGUGGAGAUGAUUCUGAUCAUGAGACGCAAUACAUGGCUCCGGAACACGCUGACAGGUAUGAAUGUUUAGUUGCUCAACGUUUUUUGAGUGUGCAGGUCACACAAGCUGAGCAAAAUCAGAGGCACAAUUUGUUCCAUACCAAGGGAGUUGUGAAAGAACGUACUGUGCGCGUCAUCAUAGAUGGAGGGAGCUGCAACAACUUGGCUAGCAUGGAGAUGGUGGAGAAGCUUUCUGUCACCACAAGACCACAUCCACAUCCUUACUACAUCCAAUGGUUCAACAACAGCGGCAAGGUUAAGGUAACACGUACUGUUCGUGUGCAUUUUAGUAUCUCUACAUAUGCUGAUUAUGUUGAUUGUGAUGUGGUACCUAUGCAAGCAUGUUCCUUAUUACUUGGUAGACCAUGGCAAUUUGAUAAAAAUUCUGUACACCAUGGUAGAAACAAUCACUAUACUCUUGUUCAUAAGGAUAAAAAUAUUACUUUGCUUCCUAUGACUCCUGAUUCCAUUUUGACAGAUGAUAUUAAUAGAGCUAAUAAAGCAAAACAGGAGAUGAAUAAGAGUGAAAAUCAGAUUGUGGCAAAAGAAUUUGAGCAGCAAAUGAAGCCUAAUAAUAAACCUUCUAGUGUUGCUUCUGAAAUUAAAUUGAAAAAUGCAUGUUUAUUUGCCACCAAAUCUGAUAUUGAUGAGCUAGAUUUCAGCAAAUCUGUUUGCUAUGCUUUUGUGUGCAAAGAGGCAUUAUUUUCAUUCGAGGACGUGCCUUCCUCUUUGCCUCCUGCUGUCACUAACAUUUUGCAGGAGUUCGCUGACGUCUUUCCACAAGACGUGCCACCGAGAUUACCGCCUAUUCGAGGGAUUGAGCAUCAGAUUGACUUAAUUCCCGGUGCUUCACUGCCAAACCGUGCACCAUACCGUACCAAUCCAGAGGAGACGAAGGAGAUUAUGCGUCAAGUACAAGAGCUUCUCGACAAAGGUUAUAUACGCGAAUCCCUUAGUCCUUGUGCUGUUCCUAUUAUUCUAGUGCCGAAAAAGGAUGGUACAUCACGUAUGUGUGUUGAUUGUAGAAGCAUUAAUAAUAUUACUAUUCGUUAUCGUCAUCCUAUUCCUAGGCUAGAUGAUAUGCUUGAUGAAUUGAGUGGCUCUACAAUAUUCUCCAAAGUUGAUUUGCGUAGUGGAUACCAUCAAAUUCGUAUGAAAUUGGGAGAUGAAUGGAAAACAGCAUUCAAAACUAAGUUUGGAUUAUAUGAGUGGUUAGUCAUGCCUUUUGGGUUAACUAAUGCACCUAGUACUUUCAUGAGAUGAAUGAACGAAGUUUUACGUGCUUUCAUUGGACGAUCUGUGGUAAUUUACUUUGAUGACAUAUUGAUUUAUAGCAGAUCUUUGGAAGAACAUUUGGAACAUUUACGUGCUGUUUUUAUUGCUCUACGUGAUGCACGUUUGUUUGGUAACCUUGGGAAGUGCACCUUUUGCACCGACCGAGUAUCUUUUCUUGGCUAUGUUGUUACUGCACAGGGAAUUGAAGUUGAUAAAGCCAAGAUUGAAGCUAUUGAGAGUUGGCCGCAGCCCAAAACAGUCACACAAGUGAGGAGUUUUCUUGGCCUCGCUGGAUUCUAUAGGCGUUUUGUGAGAGAUUUUAGCACCAUUGCUGCACCUCUCAAUGAGCUUACAAAGAAAGAUGUGCCUUUUCUUUGGGGUACCGCACAGGAAGAAGCCUUCUCGGUAUUGAAAGAUAAGUUGACACAUGCUCCUUUACUCCAACUUCCUGAUUUUAAUAAGACUUUUGAGCUUGAAUGUGAUGCUAGUGGAAUUGGAUUAGGCGUUGUGUUAUUACAAGAUGGCAACCCUGUUGCAUACUUUUCUGAAAAAUUGAGUGGGCCUAGUCUGAAUUAUUCUACUUAUGAUAAAGAAUUAUAUGCUCUUGUUCGGACUUUAGAAACAUGGCAACAUUAUUAUGGCCCAAAGAAUUUGUUAUACAUUCUGAUCACGAAUCUUUGAAACAUAUUAAAAGUCAAGCUAAACUGAAUCGUAGACAUGCUAAAUGGGUUGAAUUCAUUGAGACUUUUCCUUAUGUCAUUAAACACAAGAAGGGAAAAGAAAAUGUUAUUGCUGAUGCAUUGUCUCGCCGCUAUACUAUGCUUUCACAACUUGACUUCAAAAUAUUUGGUUUGGAGACCAUCAAAGAUCAAUAUGUGCAUGAUGCCGAUUUUAAAGAUGUAAUGCAGAAUUGUAAAGAAGGAAGAAUGUGGAACAAGUUCGUCGUUAACGAUGGAUUUGUGUUUCGUGCUAACAAGCUAUGCAUUCCAGCUAGCUCCGUUCGUCUUUUGUUGUUGCAGGAGGCGCAUGGAGGAGGAUUAAUGGGACACUUUGGCGUGAAGAAGACGGAGGACGUACUUGCUACACAUUUCUUUUGGCCAAAGAUGAGACGGGAUGUUGAGCGUUUUAUUGCUCGCUGCACUACAUGUCAAAAAGCUAAGUCACGACUCAAUCCUCAUGGUUUAUAUAUGCCUUUGCCUGUACCUUGUGUUCCUUGGGAGGAUAUAUCUAUGGACUUUGUUUUAGGUUUACCUCGAACAAAGAAGGGGAGGGAUAGCAUAUUUGUUGUCGUGGAUAGAUUCUCGAAAAUGGCACACUUUAUACCAUGUCAUAAAAGCGAUGAUGCUGUUAAUGUUGUUGAUUUGUUCUUUCGUGAAAUUAUUCGCUUGCAUGGUGUGCCAAAUACUAUUGUUUCAGAUCGUGAUACUAAAUUUCUUAGCCACUUUUGGAGAUGUUUAUGGGCUAAGUUGGGGACUAAACUGCUUUUUAGUACUACUUGUCACCCCCAAACUGAUGGACAAACUGAAGUAGUCAAUAGAACGUUGUCUACUAUGCUUAGGGCUGUUUUGAAGAAUAAUAAGAAAAUGUGGGAGGAAUCCUUGCCUCAUAUUGAAUUUGCUUAUAAUCGUUCAUUGCAUUCUACUACUAAGAUGUGCCCUUCUGAAGUUGUGUAUGGUUUCCUCCCUCGUGCACCUAUUGAUUUGUUGCCUCUUCCAUCUUCGGAGAAGGUUAAUUUUGAUGCUAAACAACGUGCUGAAUUGAUUUUAAAAAUGCAUGAGUUAAUAAGGAAAACAUUGAGCGUAUGAAUGCUAAAUAUAAACUUGCUGGAGAUAAGGGUAGAAAACAUGUUGUGUUUGCACCUGGAGAUCUUGUUUGGUUACAUUUGCGUAAGGAUAGAUUUCCGGAUUUGCGCAAAUCAAAGUUAAUGCCUCGUGCUGAUGGUCCCUUUAAGGUGUUAGAGAAAAUAAAUGAUAAUGCAUAUAAACUUGAGCUGCCUUCAGAUUUUGGGGUUAGUCCCACUUUUAACAAUGCAGAUUUGAAGCCUUAUUUGGGUGAGGAAGAUGAGCUUCCGUCGAGGACGACUUCAUUUCAAGAAGGGGAGGAUGAUGAGGACAUCAAUACCAUUGUUACACCCACAGCCCCUUUUGCUACAUAUACGGGACCAAUUACUAGAGCUCGCGCACGCCAAUUAAAUUAUUAGGUACUUUCAUUUCUUGGUAAUGAUUCUAAUGUUCAUGAGAAUAUGAUGCUGCCUAAAUUGGAUACAUUUGUUUUGCUUACAAAUGAAGGGCCUAGCUUGGAGAAGGAUGAACAUUGGAGCAAGAACAAGCAUGGAGAUGAUGCCAUGCGCAAGGGGAACAAGAACGGAGUUACAAGUGAUGAUUUCAGGACUUUGAAGCCACCAUAAUGGGUGCAUGAAGCCUUGGACGAAAUAUACAAGAUGCCACUUCAUAAAUUUCGUCCCGAGGCUAUUAUAGGUGCUGCGUCACCUUUUUAUUGGGCCAGGCCCAUGUAAUUUCGAAAUACAUAAGUAUAGGCUAUUUUUAGAGUCCGUAUGUGUGGGGAAACAAGAGAUAGGGUUGAUUUCGGACCCCUCCACCAAGGGCCACGAAAUUCCCCUCUCUUCCUCCGUAUAUACAGCCCUUAGGGCACCGUUUAGAUUUUGGGUUUUGUUUAGAUUAAAAGUUCGCCAUAGCUGCAACUGCGCGUACUUCGUUUGUGUUCAACGACCAGACAAAGGCGUCACAGAACCCCACCUUGAUCAAUAAAGCUUUCAUCUUAUAUUCGCAAUAUCCAGAUUGCAAUCUCAGUUUCUUGCUUGUUUUUCGUUUGCUCGCAGGAAACAGACCCUCGUGGUCAGGUUGAUCGUGCUCCGGCGUGGUCAAUAACCUCUUGGAGUUGGUUUAGCGAUUGCUAAGGCGCGACGUCCUUGCACGUUCGUAGUCGGAUCGUCAAAGUCGACUGCCACCAAAGCGAUAUCCAUCAUCUCAUCGAAAGACGGGACACCUUUGCCUCUAUCAUGAGGUUGCUCAAAAUCAGAACUACGUGCAACCACCAGCACCACCACCAGCAGGUCGACCUCAGGUAUAUAUUCGUAAUGGUAGGCUGCACCACCACCUCAGGUACGAGAUGAUGUCCAUAUUCCUAAACUGAAAUUGAAUAUUCCACCAUUUGAGGGUAGAUAUGUUCCUGAUAUAUAUCUUACUUGGGAGUUAGAAAGUGAACAAUGUUUUACAUGUUUACAAUAUCCCGAGGAGAGACGGGUUGCUGCUGUUGUUUGUGCUUUCACUAGUUUUGCAUGUCUCUGGUGGUCUGAACAUUGUAGAUUAUAUCCUAUUCCAACUACUUGGGCUGCUUUGAAAACCGCUAUGCGUACGCGUUGGGUUCCACCAUAUUAUCAACGUGAAUUGCUUCAAAAAUUGCAGCGUUUAAGACAAGGGAAAAAUUCUGUAGAAGAAUAUUAUCAGGAAUUACAAACUGGCAUGAUUAGAUGUGGUAUUGUUGAGGAGAAUGAAGCUAUGCUUGCACGUUUUCUGGGUGGAUUAAAUAGAGAGAUUCAGACCAUUCUAGACUAUAAGGAGUAUACUAAUAUCACUCGUUUAUUCCAUCUUGCUUGUAAAGCUGAACGUGAAGUACAGGAUCGACAAGCAUUGGCGCGAUCUAACUUUUCUGCAGGCCGACCUUCAUCAUGGACACCACGUGCAUCUUCUACUUCAACUGCACCAGCACCUCAAUCAGGUGCCUCCUACAGCCGUGAUACAAGAAAACAGGAACAACCACCAUUAUCUGCCAAGAGCGCACCUGCCGGGCCUGCACAGAGUUCUUCUUCUUCCAGGGCAUCAACAGGGCACACAAGUGAUAUUAUUUGUCGUCAUUGUAAGGGAGGAGGUCAUUAUGCGAGAGAAUGCAAAUCUCCGCGUGUGAUGAUUGCUACCGAGGGUGGUGGAUAUGAGUCCGCUAGUGACUAUGAUGAAGAGACAUUGGCUCUUAUUACACGUGAAGAACAUGGUGGAGAUGAUUCUGAUCAUGAGACGCAAUACAUGGCUCCUGAAGACGCUGACAGGUAUGAAUGUUUAGUUGCUCAACGUGUUUUGAGUGUGCAGGUCACACAAGCUGAGCAAAAUCAGAGGCACAAUUUGUUCCAUACCAAGGGAGUUGUGAAGGAACGUUCUGUGCGCGUCAUAAUAGACGGAGGGAGCUGCAACAACUUGGCUAGCAUGGAGAUGGUGGAGAAGCUUUCUCUCACCACAAGACCACAUCCACAUCCUUACUACAUCCAAUGGUUCAACAACAGCGGCAAGGUUAAGGUAACACGUACUGUUCAUGUGCAUUUUAGUAUCUCUACAUAUGCUGAUUAUGUUGAUUGUGAUGUGGUACCUAUGCAAGCAUGUUCCUUAUUACUUGGUAGACCAUGGCAAUUUGAUAAAAAUUCUGUACACCAUGGUAGAAACAAUCACUAUACUCUUGUUCAUAAGGAUAAAAAUAUUACUUUGCUUCCUAUGACUCCUGAUUCCAUUUUGAAAGAUGAUAUUAAUAGAGCUAAUAAAGCAAAACAGGAGAAGAAUAAGAGUGAAAAUCAGAUUGUGGCAAAAGAAUUUGAGCAACAAAUGAAGCCUAAUAGUAAACCAUCUAGUGUUGCUUCUGAAAUUAAAUUGAAAAGUGCAUGUUUAUUUGCCACCAAAUCUGAUAUUGAUGAGCUAGAUUUCAGCAAAUUUGUUUGCUAUGCUUUUGUGUGCAAAGAGGCAUUAUUUUCAUUCGAGGACGUGCCUUCCUGAUGAGGACAUGACUACCUUGGAUAUGACCAAAAAUAUUGCAUAUAUGCAUAUUUGUCAGGUGAUUUCUAGUGCAAACUAUUCAAUAAUCUAUUUAUGUUAUCCAGAACAAAAAUACUUCACACACUUUUGUGUUUUGUCUAAUUGCAGGUGUAUGGGACAUUUGUACAAUCCACAUAUGAAGAUAAGGAAGAAAGAGAUGUUUAUUUGCUGUCCAAAAAGUUCUCUCACGUCAUUUUUGGCCCAAGAGAAGAUAGAGUCCAAGUCUCUCACGUUCUGGAUUCAGAUUCGGACUGCACAGACAUACCUGACUCAAAACGCACACAAGUUUUUCAUACGGACUCCGAAUUGGGUGAUUUUUUUUUGUUGGAAACUAGAUUUCGUGCACUUUCCAACCCAAUUGGAAUCACCUUCAAAUUCGUCCGGAGCGUUGAGUUGUGGACGAAACAAUCUGAUGCUGCAGCAGAAUCCGAGUCAAACUACAAGUCCAAAGGUGUUACAUCACCUCCACUUGGGCCCAUUGGCCUUGUACGACCUAGAUUUAGUUUUAGGCUGCCUUGGGACGUCCUCCCACCUCCUUGGCCGCCACCCCUUGCUCCUAUAUAAGUAGAUCCAUCUAGUAGCUUUUCCUUGGGAUUUGUUUAGUUAAAAGUUAGCCAUUGCAACUUCGUGUACUUCGUUUGUGUCCAACGACCAGACCAAGACCGCUUCCGGAUCCCCACCAUUAUCAAUACCUCAUAUAUAUUUGCAAUAUUCAGAUUGCUUUAUCAUAUUCUUGCUCGUUCUUCGAUUGCUUGCAGGAAUAGACCUUCGUGGUCAGGCUGACCGUGCUUCCGGCAUCGUCAGUAACCUCAGGAGAUUGGUUUAGCGAUUGCUAAGGCGCAACGUCGUGCAUGUUUGUAGUCGGAUUGUCAAACUCGUCUCCACCAAAUCGAUAGUUAUCAUCUCAUCGAAAGAUCGGGCACCUCCGCCCCUAUCAAGUGGUAUCAGAGCUACUUGAUCACACCACCUAUUUUAGAGGACUACGUUGAUAAUUUGACUAUGCCAUGUGAUCAAACAACUGAAAUACCAACAAUUUUGAGUGCACCCAUUGAAUUAACUAUUGAUGCAAAAGAACCAAUGUUUAAUCAUUUUGAUAUGACCUCUAAUCUUGGUGAUGAUUCUGUGUUGAAUGACUUAUUGCAUGUUUGCUUAUUUAAGCAUGUUGUAGCAUGUAAAUUUGAUGCAAGUAAGGUUUAUUCACCAAUGUUGGGAUGGUUUAAUGAUGAACAUUGUCAAUCUUUUGAAAUGAAUAAGAGCUUCACUUAUAUGUGCAAACUGAGUUGCAAUAUUUUCAUGCCUUCUACUUCUUGUGCUAAUUUUUUGGCUUUACAUUUUAUGAAUUAUGCAAGUUACUCAUCUAUUCAUGUGUCAUAUAUGCAAAAAUCAAGGGAAGUAAAAAUGGAUGACAUAUACAUAUACAACAUGUACACCUUGUCUCUUUUGUUAGCCACAUUUCAGAUUAAGCAACGCCGAGGACGGCUUUAUUUUCAAGAAGGGGAGGAUGAUGCCUCCUGCUGUCACUAACAUUUUGCAGGAGUUCGCUGACGUUUUUCCACAAGACGUGCCACCGGGAUUACCGCCUAUUCGAGGGAUUGAGCAUCAGAUUGACUUAAUUCCCGGUGCUUCACUGCCAAACCGUGCACCAUACCGUACCAAUCCAGAGGAGACGAAGGAGAUUAUGCGUCAAGUACAAGAGCUUCUCGACAAAGGUUAUAUACGCGAAUCCCUUAGUCCUUGUGCUGUUCCUAUUAUUCUAGUGCCGAAAAAGGAUGGUACAUCACGUAUGUGUGUUGAUUGUAGAGGCAUUAAUAAUAUUACUAUUCGUUAUCGUCAUCCUAUUCCUAGGCUAGAUGAUAUGCUUGAUGAAUUGAGUGGCUCUACAAUAUUCUCCAAAGUUGAUUUGCGUAGUGGCUACCAUCAAAUUCGUAUGAAAUUGGGAGAUGAAUGGAAAACAGCAUUUAAAACUAAGUUUGGAUUAUAUGAGUGGUUAGUCAUGCCUUUUGGGUUAACUAAUGCACCUAGUACUUUCAUGAGAUUAAUGAACGAAAUUUUACGUGCUUUCAUUGGACGAUUUGUGGUAGUUUACUUUGAUGACAUAUUGAUUUAUAGCAGAUCUUUGGAAGAACAUUUGGAACAUUUACGUGCUAUUUUUAUUGCUCUACGUGAUGCACGUUUGUUUGGUAACCUUGGGAAGUGCACCUUUUGCACCGACCGAGUAUCUUUUCUUGGCUAUGUUGUUACUCCACAGGGAAUUGAAGUUGAUAAAGCCAAGAUUGAAGCUAUUGAGAAUUGGCCGCAGCCCAAAACGGUCACACAAGUGAGGAGUUUUCUUGGCCUCGCUGGAUUCUAUAGGCGUUUUGUGAGAGAUUUCAGCACCAUUGCUGCACCUCUCAAUGAGCUUACAAAGAAAGAUGUGCCUUUUCUUUGGGGUACCGCACAGGAAGAAGCCUUCACGGUAUUGAAAGAUAAGUUGACACAUGCUCCUUUACUCCAACUUCCUGAUUUUAAUAAGACUUUUGAGCUUGAAUGUGAUGCUAGUGGAAUUGGAUUAGGAGGUGUGUAAUUACAAGAUGGCAAACCUGUUGCAUACUUUUCUGAAAAAUUGAGUGGGCCUAGUCUGAAUUAUUCUACUUAUGAUAAAGAAUUAUAUGCUCUUGUUCGGACUUUAGAAACAUGGCAACAUUAUUUAUGGCCCAAAGAAUUUGUUAUACAUUCUGAUCAUGAAUCUUUGAAACAUAUUAAAAGUCAAGCUAAACUGAAUCGUACACAUGCUAAAUGGGUUGAAUUCAUUGAGACUUUCCCUUAUGUCAUUAAACACAAGAAGGGAAAACAAAAUGUUAUUGCUGAUGCAUUGUCUCGUCGCUAUACUAUGCUUUCACAACUUGACUUCAAAAUAUUUGGUUUGGAGACCAUCAAAGAUCAAUAUGUGCAUGAUGCUGAUUUUAAAGAUGUAAUGCAGAAUUGUAAAGAAGGAAGAAUGUGGAACAAGUUUGUUGUGAACGAUGGAUUUGUGUUUCGUGCUAACAAGCUAUGCAUUCCAGCUAGCUCCGUUCGUCUUUUGUUGUUGCAGGAGGCGCAUGGAGGAGGAUUAAUGGGACACUUUGGCGUGAAGAAGACGGAGGACGUACUUGCUACACAUUUCUUUUGGCCAAAGAUGAGACGAGAUGUUGAGCGUUUUAUUGCUCGCUGCACUACAUGUCAAAAAGCUAAGUCACGACUCAAUCCUCAUGGUUUAUAUAUGCCUUUGCCUGUACCUAUUGUUCCUUGGGAGGAUAUAUCUAUGGACUUUGUUUUAGGUUUACCUCGAACAAAGAAGGGGAGGGAUAGCAUAUUUGUUGUCGUGGAUAGAUUCUCGAAAAUGGCACACUUUAUACCAUGUCAUAAAAGCGAUGAUGCUGUUAAUGUUGCUGAUUUGUUCUUUCGUGAAAUUAUUCGCUUGCAUGGUGUGCCAAAUACUAUUGUUUCAGAUCGUGAUACUAAAUUUCUUAGCCACUUUUGGAGAUGUUUAUGGGCUAAGUUGGGGACUAAACUGCUUUUUAGUACUACUUGUCACCCCCAAAUUGAUGGACAAACUGAAGUAGUCAAUAGAACGUUGUCUACUAUGCUUAGGGCAGUUUUGAGGAAUAAUAAGAAAAUGUGGGAGGAAUGCUUGCCUCAUAUUGAAUUUGCUUAUAAUCGUUCAUUGCAUUCUACUACUAAGAUGUGCCCUUUUGAAGUUGUGUAUGGUUUCCUACCUCGUGCACCUAUUGAUUGUUGCCUCUUCCAUCUUCGGAGAAGGUUAAUUUUGAUGCUAAACAACGUGCUGAAUUGAUUUUAAAAAUGCAUGAGUUAACUAUGGAAAACAUUGAGCGUAUGAAUGCUAAAUAUAAACUUGCUGGAGAUAAGGGUAGAAAACAUGUUGUGUUUGCACCUGGAGAUCUUGUUUGGUUACAUUUGCGUAAGGAUAGAUUUCCUGAUUUGCGCAAAUCAAAGUUAAUGCCACGUGCUGAUGGUCCCUUUAAGGUGUUAGAGAAAAUAAAUGAUAAUGCAUAUAAACUUGAGCUGCCUGCAGAUUUUGGGGUUAGUCCCACUUUUAACAUUGCAGAUUUGAAGCCUUAUUUGGGUGAGGAAGAUGAACUUCCGUCGAGGACGACUUCAUUUCAAGAAGGGGAGGAUGAUGAGGACAUCAAUAUAAUUGUUACACCCACAGCCCCUGCUGCUAUACAUACUGGACCAAUAACUAGAGCUCGUGCACGCCAACUAAAUUACCAGGUACUUUCGUUUCUUGGUAAUGAUUCUAAUGUUCAUGAGAAUAUGAUGCUGCCUAAAUUGGAUACAUUUGUUUUGCUUACAAAUGAAGGGCCUAGCUUGGAGAAGGAUGAACAUUGGAGCAAGAACAAGCAUGCAGAUGAUGGCAUGCGCAAGGGGAACAAGAACGGAGUUACAAGUGAUGAUUUCAGGACUUUGAAGCCACCAUAAUGGGUGCAUGAAGCCUUGGACGAAAUAUACAAGAUGCCACUUCAUAAAUUUCGUCCCGAGGCUAUUUUAGGUGUUGCUUCACCUUAUUAUUGGGCCAGGCCCAUGUAAUUUCGAAAUACAUAAGUAUAGGCUAUUUUUAGAGUCCGUAUGUGUGGAGAAACAAGAGAUAGGGUUGAUUUCGGACCCCUCCACCACGGGCCACGAAAUUCCCCCCCCCUCUUCCUCCAUAUAUACAGCCCUUAGGGCAUCGUUUAGAAUUUGGGUUUUGUUUAGAUUAAAAGUUCGCCAUAGCUGCAACUUCGCGUACUUCGUUUGUGUUCAACGACCAGACAAAGGCGUCACAGAACCCCACCUUGAUCAAUAAAGCUUUCAUCUUAUAUUCGCAAUAUCCAGAUUGCAAUCUUAGUUUCUUGCUUGUUCUUCGUUUGCUCGCAGGAAACAGACCCUCGUGGUCAGGUUGAUCGUGCUCCGGCGUGGUCAAUAACCUCUCGGAGUUGGUUUAGCGAUUGCUAAGGCGCGACGUCCUCGCACGUUCGUAGUCGGAUCGUCAAAGUCAACUUCCACCAAAGCGAUAUCCUUCAUCUCAUCGAAAGACGGGACACCUUUGCCUCUAUCAAUUUACCACCACUAAUCCGAGUCCAGAUAUACCAUCGCCAUAUACCACAACCAAUCCGAGUCCAGAUAUACCACCACAGUCCGAGUUCCACCAGAUUCAUCUCCGCCACCAGUCCGAGUCCAGUAUUUGUUGCUUUGUUUUCAAGUUCCAGAUCACGCCAUACUCCGAGUCGUGAGAGAGUAGGACUCCUGAGAUUCCGUGCUACCCGCAGAAGAAAAAUAGUUCCAAACUCAAAAAAAAAACUAAGUCUGGAAAAUUCUGGCUAGGUAGUUUUUAGACCAUUUGUAGACUUUUUCGAUAAAAAAUUGUUGCGGAGCAAAAAAAGAGGAAAAAAGUGCAAAAAAAAGUGAAAAAAGGAAAAAAAUUCAGAGUGUGCUCCUCCAUUGUUUACGUGUAGUGUCGUGAUUUUGUUAGUGUUCUAGGCUCGCGUCUCUAGCACGGUCUAGCUUAGGACCAGCACAGUACCGUCGUUGAGCGUUUAUUCAACUUUGCAUCUCUGAAUUGAUUAUUGCUGACCCUUUUUGCUACCAUAUUGUAAGCCUUCCCAGGUCCACAUACAUCUACGUCGUGCGUUUGACUCUCCCUGGUAAUCGCUCUAUCCAAGCUUUGAGAGUUUUGACUACGACGGUUGCCGAUCACCACCUGUUGCUGGGUAAGAACUGGUAAGAAUUUGAGAUUGGCUUGACGGAUUUGUGACACCACCACCACCUCUUGUUAGUAUUCUGUAGGAUCAUAUUCUUGUGUGUUUCUAUUGUUGCUAACCAUGGCAGGAUCACAAGUCGACGAGACUGACUAGGAGAACAUGACGAGUAAGGAGUUGCAUGAUAAAUUUCAGCAAAUGGUGAGUGGACAGGUGCACGAUGUGCUAAACAGAUUUGAAGAGGCCAUGGAGAAGAUAGAUGGCAUGGAGAAGACGUUCGAAACAAAGCUCGAUAACAGGUUUAAUGAAUUAAUCACGCGUCUUCCACCACCACCACCGGCUGCACCUAACGCACCUCCACAACAACAACAACGUCGCUUUCCAAAUCAAGUGGGACGAGCACAGUGCGUUCCCAUUGACCCUUGGCAAAAUUCUGGUGCCGCUGUUGAUGCUUCUGCCGCUCCUGCUGCUACUGCAGAGGUGGAGGACCAUUACGAGGAUGAGUUUGACCAAAAUCAGAACUACGUGCAACCACCAGCACCACCACCACCAGGUCGUCCUCAUGCAUAUCAUCGCAACGGUAGGGCUGCACCACCACCUGAUGGAGUGGACAUGAUAGAGGCAAAGGUGUCCCGUCUUUCGAUGAGAUGAUGGAUAUCGCUUUGGUGGUAGUCGACUUUGACGAUCCGACUACGAACGUGCGAGGACGUCGCGCCUUAGCAAUCGCUAAACCAACUCCGAGAGGUUAUUGACCACGCCGGAGCACGAUCAACCUGACCACGAGGGUAUGUUUCCUGCGAGCAAACGAAGUACAAGCAAGAAACUGAGAUUGCAAUCUGGAUAUUGCGAAUAUAAGAUGAAAGCUUUAUUGAUCAAGGUGGGGUUCUGUGACGCCUUUGUCUGGUUGUUGAACACAAACGAAGUACGCGAAGUUGCAGCUAUGGCGAACUUUUAAUCUAAACAAAACCCGAAGUCUAAACAAUGCCCUAAGGGCUGUAUAUAUGGAGGAAGAGGGGGGGAAUUUCGUGGCCCUUGGUGGACGGGUCCGAAAUCAACCCUAACUCUUGUUUCCCCACACAUACGUACUCUAAAAAUAGCCUAUACUUAUGUAUUUCGAAAUUACAUGGGCCUGGCCCAAUAAUAAGGUGACGCAGCACCUAAAAUAGCCUCGGGACGAAAUUUAUGAAGUGGCAUCUUGUAUAUUUCGUCCAAGGCUUCAUGCACCCAUUAUGGUGGCUUCAAAGUCCUGAAAUCAUCACUUGUAACUCCGUUCUUGUUCCCCUUGCGCAUGCCAUCAUCCCCAUGCUUGUUCUUGCUCCAAUGUUCAUCCUUCUCCAAGCUAGGCCCUUCAUUUGUAAGCAAAACAAAUGUAUCCAAUUUAGGCAGCAUCAUAUUCUCAUUAACAUUAGAAUCAUUACCAAGAAACGAAAGUACCUGGUAAUUUAGUUGGCGUGCACGAGCUCUAGUAAUUGGUCCAGUAUGUAUAGCAGCAGGGGCUGUGGGUGUAACAAUUGUAUUGAUGUCCUCAUCAUCCUCCCCUUCUUGAAAUGAAGUCGUCCUCGACGGAAGUUCAUCUUCCUCACCCAAAUAAGGCUUCAAAUCUGCAAUGUUAAAAGUGGGACUAACCCCAAAAUCUGCAGGCAGCUCAAGUUUAUAUGCAUUAUCAUUUAUUUUCUCUAACACCUUAAAGGGACCAUCAGCACGUGGCAUUAACUUUGAUUUGCGCAAAUCAGGAAAUCUAUCCUUACGCAAAUGUAACCAAACAAGAUCUCCAGGUGCAAACACAACAUGUUUUCUACCCUUAUCUCCAGCAAGUUUAUAUUUAGCAUUCAUAUGCUCAAUGUUUUCCAUAGUUAACUCAUGCAUUUUUAAAAUCAAUUCAACACGUUGUUUAGCAUCAAAAUUAACCUUCUCCGAAGAUGGAAGAGGCAACAAAUCAAUAGGUGCACGAGGUAGGAAACCAUACACAACUUCAAAAGGGCACAUCUUAGUAGUAGAAUGCAAUGAACGAUUAUAAGCAAAUUCAAUAUGAGGCAAGCAUUCCUCCCACAUUUUCUUAUUAUUCUUCAAAAUAGCCCUAAGCAUAGUAGACAACGUUCUAUUGACUACUUCAGUUUGUCCAUCAGUUUGGGGGUGACAAGUAGUACUAAAAAGCAGUUUAGUCCCCAACUUAGCCCAUAAACAUCUCCAAAAGUGGCUAAGAAAUUUAGUAUCAUGAUCUGAAACAAUAGUAUUUGGCACACCAUGCAAGCGAAUAAUUUCACGAAAGAACAAAUCAGCAACAUUAACAGCAUCAUCGCUUUUAUGACAUGGUAUAAAGUGUGCCAUUUUCGAGAAUCUAUCCAUGACAACAAAUAUGCUAUCCCUCCCCUUCUUUGUUCGAGGUAAACCUAAAACAAACUCCAUGGAUAUAUCCUCCCAAGGAACACUAGGUACAGGCAAAGGCAUAUAUAAACCAUGAGGAUUGAGUCGUGACUUAGCUUUUUGACAUGUAGUGUAGCGAGCAAUAAAACGCUCAACAUCCCGUCUCAUCUUUGGCCAAAAGAAAUGUGUAGCAAGUACGUCCUCCGUCUUCUUCACGCCAAAGUGUCCCAUUAAUCCUCCUCCAUGCGCCUCCUGCAACAACAAAAGACGAACGGAGCUAGCUGGAAUGCAUAGCUUGUUAGCACGAAACACAAAUCCAUCGUUAACGACGAACUUGUUCCACAUUCUUCCUUCUUUACAAUUCUGCAUUACAUCUUUAAAAUCAGCAUCAUGCACAUAUUGAUCUUUGAUGGUCUCCAAACCAAUUAUUUUGAAGUCAAGUUGUGAAAGCAUAGUAUAGCGACGAGACAAUGCAUCAGCAAUAACAUUUUCUUUUCCCUUCUUGUGUUUAAUGACAUAAGGAAAAGUCUCAAUGAAUUCAACCCAUUUAGCAUGUCUACGAUUCAGUUUAGCUUGACUUUUAAUAUGUUUCAAAGAUUCAUGAUCAGAAUGUAUAACAAAUUCUUUGGGCCAUAAAUAAUGUUGCCAUGUUUCUAAAGUCCGAACAAGAGCAUAUAAUUCUUUAUCAUAAGUAGAAUAAUUCAGACUAGGCCCACUCAAUUUUUCAGGAAAGUAUGCAACGGGUUUGCCAUCUUGUAAUAACACACCGCCUAAUCCAAUUCCACUAGCAUCACAUUCAAGCUCAAAAGUCUUAUUAAAAUCAGGAAGUUGGAGUAAAGGAGCAUGUGUCAACUUAUAUUUCAAUACCGAGAAGGCUUCUUCCUGUGCGGUACCCCAAAGAAAAGGCACAUCUUUCUUUGUAAGCUCAUUGAGAGGUGCAGCAAUGGUGCUAAAAUCUCUCACAAAACGUCUAUAGAAUCCAGCGAGGCCAAGAAAACUCCUCACUUGUGUGACUGUUUUGGGCUGCGGCCAACCCUCAAUAGCUUCAAUCUUGGCUUUAUCAACUUCAAUUCCCUGUGGAGUAACAACAUAGCCAAGAAAAGAUACUCGGUCGGUGCAAAAGGUGCACUUCCCAAGGUUACCAAACAAACGUGCAUCACGUAGAGCAAUAAAAACAGCACGUAAAUGUUCCAAAUGUUCUUCCAAAGAUCUGCUAUAAAUCAAUAUGUCAUCAAAGUAAACUACCACAAAUCGUCCAAUGAAAGCACGUAAAACUUCGUUCAUUAAUCUCAUGAAAGUACUAGGUGCAUUAGUUAACCCAAAAGGCAUGACUAACCACUCAUAUAAUCCAAACUUAGUUUUAAAUGCUGUUUUCCAUUCAUCUCCCAAUUUCAUACGAAUUUGACGGUAUCCACUAUGCAAAUCAACUUUGGAGAAUAUUGUAGAGCCACUCAAUUCAUCAAGCAUAUCAUCUAGCCUAGGAAUAGGAUGACGAUAACGAAUAGUAAUAUUAUUAAUUCCUCUACAAUCAACACACAUACGUGAUGUACCAUCCUUUUUCGGCACUAGAAUAAUAGGAACAGCACAAGGACUAAGGGAUUCGCGUAUAUAACCUUUGUCGAGAAGCUCUUGUACUUGACGCAUAAUCUCCUUCGUCUCCUCUGGAUUGGUACGGUAUGGUGCACGGUUUGGCAGUGAAGCACCGGGAAUUAAGUCAAUUUGAUGCUCAAUCCCUCGAAUAGGCGGUAAUCCCGGUGGCACGUCUUGUGGAAAGGCGUCAGCAAACUCUUGCAAAAUGUUAGUGACAGCAGGAGGCAAAGAGGAAGGCACGUCCUCGAAUGAAAAUAAUGCCUUUUUGCACACAAAAGCAUAGCAAACAGAUUUGCUGAAAUCUAGCUCAUCAAUAUCAGAUUUGGUGGCAAAUAAACAUGCACUUUUCAAUUUAAUUUCAGAAGCAACACUAGAUGGUUUAUUAUUAGGCUUCAUUUGUUGCUCAAAUUCUUUUGCCACAAUCUGAUUUUCACUCUUAUUCUUCUCUUGUUGCUUUAUUAGCUCUAUUAAUAUCAUCUUUCCAAAUAGAAUAAGGAGUCAUAGGAAGCAAAGUAAUAUUUUUAUCCUUAUGAACAAGAGUAUACUGAUUGUUUCUACCAUGGUGUACAUAAUUUUUAUCAAAUUGUCAUGGUCUACCAAGUAAUAAGGAACAUGCUUGCAUAGGUACCACAUCACAAUCAACAUAAUCAGCAUAUGUAGAUAUACUAAAAUGCACACGAACAGUACGUGUUACCUUAACCUUGCCGCUGUUGUUGAACCAUUGGAUGUAGUAAGGAUGUGGAUGUGGUCUUGUGGUGAGAGAAAGCUUCUCCACCAUCUCCACGCUAGCCAAGUUGUUGCAGCUCCCUCCGUCUAUUAUGACGUGCACAGAACAUUCCUUCACAACUCCCUUGGUAUGGAACAAAUUGUGCCUCUGAUUUUGUUCAGCUUGUGCGACCUGCACACUCAAAACACGUUGAGCAACUAAACAUUCAUACCUGUCAGCGUCUUCAGGAGCCAUGUAUUGCGUCUCAUGAUCAGAAUCAUCUCCACCAUGUUCUUCACGUGUAAUAAGAGCCAAAGUCUCCUCAUCAUAGUCACUAGCGGACUCAUAUCCACCAUCUGCGGUAGCAAUCAUCACACGCGGAGAUUUGCAUUCUCUCGCAUAAUGACCUCCUCCCUUACAACGACGACAAAUAAUAUCACUUGUGUGCCCUGUUGAUGCCAUGGAAGAAGAAGAACUCUGUGCAGGCCCAGCAGGUGCGCUCUUGGCAGAUAAUGGUGGUUGUGCCUGUUUUCUUGUAUCACGACUGGAUGAGGCACGUGAUUGAGGUGCUGGUGAAGUUGAAGUAGAAGAUGCACGCGGUGUCCAUGAUGAAGGUCGGCCUGCAGAAAAGUUAGUUCGCGCCAAUGCUUGUCGAUCCUGCACUUCACGUUCAGCUUUACAAGCAAGAUGGAAUAAACGAGUGAUAUUAGUAUACUCCUUAUAUUCUAGAAUGGUCUGAAUCUCUCUAUUUAAUCCACCCAGAAAACGUGCAAGCAUAGCUUCAUUCUCCUCAACAAUACCACAUCUAAUCAUGCCAGUUUGUAAUUCCUGAUAACAUUCUUCUACAGAAUUUUUUCCUUGUCUUAAGCGCUGUAAUUUUUGAAGCAAUUCACGUUGAUAAUAUGGUGGAACCCAACGAGUACGCAUAGCAGUUUUCAAAGCAGCCCAAGUAGUUGGAAUAGGAUAUAAUCUACAAUGUUCAGACCACCAUACACAUGCAAAACUAGUGAAAGCACAAACAGCAGCAGCAACUCGUCUCUCCUCAGGAUAUUGUAAACAUGUAAAUCGUUGUUCAGUUUCUAACUCCCAAGUAAGAUAUAUAUCAGGAACAUAUCUACCCUCAAAUGGUGGAAUAUUCAAUUUCAGUUUAGGAAUAUGGACAUCAUCUCGUACCUGAGGUGGUGGUGCAGGCCUACCAUUACGAAUAUAUACCUGAGGUCGACCUGCUGGUGGUGGUGCAGGUGGCUGCACGUAGUGCUGAUUUUGAUCAACCUCAUCCUCAUAAUCUCCCACAUAAUCAUCCUCCUCUGCAUCAGCAGCAGGAGCCACAGAAGUAUCAACAGCAGCACCAACAGUUUGGCCAAACGCAAGAGGAACACGGCUCGCUCGGCGAAGGUCUGUUUCGCGACGUGGAGGUAGUCGUUGUUGUUGUUGUUGGAGAGGUGCGUUAGGUGCAGCGGGUGGUGGUGGUGGAAGACGCGCGAGCAAUUCAUUAAACUUGUUAUCGAGCUUUGUUUCGAACGUCUUCUCCAUGCCAUCUAUCUUCUCCAUGGCCUCUUCAAAUCUGUUUAGCACAUCUUGCACCUGUCCACUCAUCAUUUGCUGAAAUUUAUCAUGCAAAUCCUUAUUCGUCAUGUUCUCCCAGUCAGUCUCGUCGGCUUGUGAUCCUGGCAUGGUUAGCAGCAAUAGAAACACACAAGAAUAUGAUCCUACAGACUACUAACAAGAGGUGGUGGUGGGUGUCACAAAUCCGUCAAGCAAAUCUCAAAUUCUUACCAGUUCUUACCCAGCAGCAGGCGGUGAUCGGCAACCGUUGUAGUCAAAAACUCUCAAAGCUUGGAUAGAGCGAUUACCUGGGAGAGUCAAACGCACGACGUAGAUGUAUGUGGAGCUGGGAAGGCUUAUAAUAUGGUAGCAAAAAGGGUCAGCAAUAAUCAAUUCAGAGAUGCAAAGUUGAAUAAACGCUCAACGACGGUACUGUGCUGGUCCUAGGCUAGACCGUGCUAGAGACGCGAGCCUAGAACACCAACAAAAACACGACACGACACGUAAACAAGAGAAAAAGCACACUCUGGAAUUUUUUUUUUCGCUCUUUUUUUUGCGAAAAAUCACUAUAAUGGCGAGUGUCUCAAAACUCUUCCUAGGUCAAACUGACAGGAUGGGCACGAAAUUUUUUCAACCAAUUUUUUUUUUCGUUUUUUCGACUGCCCGGACCCAAAAACUGGAAACAGGUCAAAAAAACUUCCUAUAAUGGCACCUGUCUCAAAACACUCAUAAACACCUAAAAAUAGGAUAGCCAGAAAUUUUUUCGAAAAAUGCGUUUUCGAAAAAAUUUGGGCCUAAAUGGAGGGUGGUUUCCGGACUCUUUUUUUUUUCCGAAACCUACUCCGGCAAGGAAACACGAAUCGGAAUCUAGAUGGGUCUCAAAAAUACACCUAAUAUGCAAGGAACUCGGAUUGGUGGUGGAUAUAUGGUGGUGGUAUAUGGCAGCGGUGGUGGUAUAUGGCAGCGGUGGUAAUAUAUGGAUAUGGAUCGGUGGUGGUAUAUGGAUACGGAUUGGUGGUGGUAUAUGGAUACGGAUUCGGACCGGUGGUGGUAGGUGACAGGGGCGAUGAUGAUGGUGCGGUGGCAGUGUGACAACUUAUGACCAGAACUCGAAACUCUAAAAGGCUAACGCUAAGACCAACAACUAGACACGACGAUGCAACCGCAAAUUCAACAAAGCAAAACCCUAAAAAGAUUAUGCAAAGGCUCAGAUUGGUUCGGAUAUGAUGAACUAACCCUAUUUUUUUUUGGCUUUUUCGUGGACUGUAGGUAUGAAGAACAAACUCGAUCUAAACUACGAAAAACUGUAAAAUCUCACCGAGCAACCUGGAAAUCUGAUACCACUUGAUAGAGGCAAAGGUGUCCCGUCUUUCGAUGAGAUGAUGGAUAUCGCUUUGGUGGCAGUCGACUUUGACGAUCCGACUACGAACGUGCGAGGACGUCGCGCCUUAGCAAUCGCUAAACCAACUCCGAGAGGUUAUUGACCACGCCGGAGCACGAUCAACCUGACCACGAGGGUCUGUUUCUUGCGAGCAAACGAAGAACAAGCAAGAAACUGAGAUUGCAAUCUGGAUAUUGCGAAUAUAAGAUGAAAGCUUUAUUAAUCAAGGUGGGGUUCUGUGACGCCUUUGUCUGGUCGUUGAACACAAACGAAGUACGCGAAGUUGCAGCAAUGGUGAACUUUUAAUCUAAACAAAACCCGAAGUCUAAACAAUGCCCUAAGGGCUGUAUAUAUGGAGGAAGAGGGGGGGGGGGAAUUUCGUGGCCCUUGGUGGAGGGGUCCGAAAUCAACCCUAUCUCUUGUUUCCCCACACAUACGUACUCUAAAAAUAGCCUAUACUUAUGUAUUUCGAAAUUACAUGGGCGUGGCCCAAUAAUAAGGUGACGCAGCACCUAAAAUAGCCUCGGGACGAAAUUUAUGAAGUGGCAUCUUGUAUAUUUCGUCCAAGGCUUCAUGCACCCAUUAUGGUGGCUUCAAAGUCCUGAAAUCAUCACUUGUAACUCCGUUCUUGUUCCCCUUGCGCAUGCCAUCAUCUCCAUGCUUGUUCUUGCUCCAAUGUUCAUCCUUCUCCAAGCUAGGCCCUUCAUUUGUAAGCAAAACAAAUGUAUCCAAUUUAGGCAGCAUCAUAUUCUCAUGAACAUUAGAAUCAUUACCAAGAAACGAAAGUACCUGGUAAUUUAGUUGGCGUGCACGAGCUCUAGUAAUUGGUCCAGUAUGUAUAGCAGCAGGGGAUGUGGGUGUAACAAUUGUAUUGAUGUCCUCAUCAGGACAGGUGUUAGAUGUGCUAAACAGAUUUGAAGAGGCCAUGGAGAAGAUAGAUGGCAUGGAGCAGACGUUCGAAACAAAGCUCGAUAAUAGGUUUAAUGAACUGCACGGGUGUCUUCCACCACCACCACCGGCUGCACCUAACGCACCUCUAAAACAACAACAACAACGACUACCUCCACAUCGCGAAAAAGCCCUCCGCCGAGCGAGCCGUCUCCCUCUUGCACCUAGCCAAACUGUUGGUGUUGCUGUUGAUACUUCUAUGGCUCCUGCUGCUGAUGCGGAGGAGGAUGAUUUUGCGGGAGAUUACGAGGAUGAGGUUGAUCAAAAUUAGAACUACGUGCCACCACCAGCACAGCAACCACCAGGCCGUCCACAUGCAAAUAAUGGCAAUGGUAGGGCUCACCCUCAGGUACGAGAUCAUGACAAUCUCCCUAAACUAAAAUUGAAUAUUCCACCAUUUGAGGGUAGAUAUGUUCCUGAUAUAUAUCUUACUUGGAAUUAGAAACUGAACAACAAUUUAUAUGUUUACAAUAUCCCAAGGAGAGACGUGUUCCUGCUGCUGUUUGUGCUUUCACUAGCUUUGCAUGUGUUUGGUGGUCUGAGCAUUGUAGACUAUAUCCUAUUCCAACUACUUGGGCUGCUUUGAAAACUGCUAUGCGUACUCAUAGGGUUCCACCAUAUUAUCAACGUGAAUUACUUCAAAAAUUGCAGCGUUUAAGACAAGGAAAAAAUUAUGUAGAAGAAUAUUAUCAGGAAUUACAAACUGGCAUGAUUAGAUGUGGUGUUGUUGAGGAAAAUGAAGCUAUGCUUGCACGUUUUAUGGGUGGAUUAAAUAGAGAGAUUCAGACCAUUCUAGAGUAUAAGGAGUAUACUAAUAUCACUCGUUUAUUCCAUCUUGCUUGUAAAGCUGAACAUGAAGUGCAGGAUCGACAGACAUUGGCGCGAACUAACUUUUCUACAGGUCGAUCUUCAUCAUGGAUAACACGUGCAUCCUCUAAUUCCACUACACCAGCACAUCCAUCACGUGCCACCUCAAGUUGUGAUACAAGAAAGCAGGCACAACCACCACUAUCUGCCAAGAGCACACCUCCCGGGCCUGCGCAGAGUUCUUCAUCUUCCAUGGCAUCAACAGGGCACACAAGUGAUAUUAUUUGUCAUUAUUGUAAGGGAAGAGGACAUUUUGCGAGACAAUGCAAAUCUCAGCGUGUGAUGAUUGCUACUGAGGAUGGUGGGUAUGAGUCCGCUAGUGACUAUGAUGAGGACACUUUGGCUCUUAUUACAUGUGAAGAACACGGUGGAGAUGAUUCUAAUCAUCAGACGCAAUACAUGGCUCCUGAAGAUGCUGAUAGGUAUGAAUGUUUAGUUGCUUAACAUGUUUUGAGUGUGCAGGUCACACAAGCUGAGCAAAAUCAGAGGCAUAAUUUGUUCCAUACAAAGGGAGUUGUGAAGGAACGCUCUGUUCGCAUCAUCAUAGAUGGAGGGAGCUGCAAUAACUUGGCUAGCAUGGAGAUGGUGGAGAAUCUAUCACUCACCACAAGACCACAUCCACAUCCUUACUACAUCCAAUGGUUCAACAACAGUGGCAAGGUUAAGGUAACACGUACUGUUCGUGUGCAUUUUAGUAUCUCUACAUAUGCUGAUUAUGUUGAUUGUGAUGUGGUACCUAUGCAAGCAUGUUCCUUAUUACUUGGUAGACCAUGGCAAUUUGAUAAAAAUUAUGUACACCAUGGUAGAAACAAUCAGUAUACUCUUGUUCAUAAGGAUAAAAAUAUUACUUUGCUUUCGAUGACUCCUCAUUCCAUUUUGAAAGAUGAUAUUAAUAGAGCUAAUAAAGCAAAACAGGAGAAAAGAGUGAAAAUCAGAUUGUGGCAAAAGUAUUUGAGCAACAAAUGCAGCCUAAUAAUAAACCAUCAAGUGUUGCUUCUGAAAUUAAAUUGAAAAGUGCAUGUUUAAUUGCCACCAAAUCUGAUAUUGAUGAUUUAGAUUUUAGAAAAUCUGUUUGCCAUGCUUUAGUGUGCAAAGAGGCAUUAUUUUCAUUUGAGGACGUGCCUUCCUCUUUGCCUCCUGCUGUCACUAACAUUUUGCAGGAGUUCGCCGACGUCUUUCCACAAGACGUGCCACCGGGAUUACCACCUAUUCGAGGGAUUGAGCAUCAAAUUGACUUAAUUCCUGGUGUAUCAUUACCCAACCGUGCACCAUACCGUACCAAUCCAGAGGAGACGAAGGAGAUUAUGCGUCAAGUACAAGAACUGCUCGACAAAGGUUAUAUACGCGAAUCCCUUAGUUCUUGUGUUAUUCCUAUCAUUUUAGUGCUGAAAAAAGAUGGUACGUCACGUAUGUGCGUUGAUUGUAGAGGCAUUAAUAAUAUUACUAUUCGUUAUCGUCAUCCUAUUCCUAGGCUAGAUGAUAGGCUUGAUGAAUCUAGUGGCUCUACAAUAUUCUCCAAAGUUGAUUUGCGUAGUGGAUACCAUCAAAUUCGUAUGAAAUUGGGAGAUGAAUGGAAAACAGCAUUUAAAACUAAGUUUGGAUUAUAUGAGUGGUUAGUCAUGCCUUUUGGGUUAACUAAUGCACCUAGUACUUUCAUGAGGUUAAUGAACGAAGUUUUACAUGAUUUCAUCGAACGAUUUUUGGUAGUUUACUUUGAUGACAUAUUGAUUUAUAGCAAAUCUUUGGAGGAACAUUUGGAACAUUUACGUGCUAUUUUUAUUGCUCUACGUGAUGCACUUUGUUUGGUAACCUUGGAAAGUGCACCUUUUGCACCGACUGAGUAUCUUUUCUUGGCUAUGUUGUUACUCCACAGGGAAUUGAAGUUGAUAAAGCCAAGAUUGAAACUAUUGAGAGUUGGCCGCAGCCCAAAACGGUCACACAAGUGAGGAGUUUCCUUGGCCUCGCUGGUUUCUAUAGGCGUUUUAUGAGAGAUUUCAGCACCAUUGCUGCACCUCUCAACGAGCUUACAAAGAAGGAUGUGUCUUUUGUUUGGGGUACCGCACAGGAAGAAGCCUUCACGGUAUUGAAAGAUAAGUUGACACAUGCUCCUUUACUCCAACUUCCCGAUUUUAAAAAGACUUUUGAGCUUGAAUGUGAUGCUAGUGGAAUUGGAUUAGGAGGUGUGUUAUUACAAGAUGGCAAACCUGUUGCAUACUUUUCUGAAAAAUUGAGUGGGCCUAGUCUGAACUAUUCUACUUAUGACAAAGAAUUAUAUGCUCUUGUUCGGACCUUAGAAACAUGGCAACAUUAUUUAUGGCCCAAGGAAUUUGUUAUACAUUCUGAUCAUGAAUCUUUGAAACACAUUAAAAGUCAAGCAAAACUGAACCAUAGACAUGCUAAAUGGGUUGAAUUCAUUGAGACUUUUCCUUAUGUCAUUAAACACAAGAAGGGUAAAGAAAAUGUUAUUGCUGAUGCAUUGUCUCGUCGUUAUACUAUGCUUUCACAACUUGACUUUAAAAUAUUUGGUUUGGAGACCAUCAAAGAUCAAUAUGUGCAUGAUGCUGAAUUUAAAGAUGUAUUGCAGAAUUGUAAGGAAGGGAGAACUUGGAACAAGUUCAUUCUUAACGAUGGAUUUGUGUUUCGUGCUAACAAGCUAUGCAUUCCAGGUAGCUCUGUUCGUCUUUUGUUGUUGCAGGAGGCGCAUGGAGGAGAAUUAAUGGGACACUUUGGCGUCAAGAAGACGGAGGAUAUACUUGCUACACAUUUCUUUUGGCCAAAGACGAGAUGGGAUGUUGACCGUUUUCUUGCUCGCUGCACUAUAUGUCAAAAAGCUAAGUCACGACUCAAUCCUCAUGGUUUAUAUAUGCCUUUGCCUGUACCUAGUGUUCCUUGGGAGGAUAUAUCUAUGGACUUUGUUUUAGGUUUACCUCAAACAAAGAAGGGGAGGGAUAGCAUAUUUGUUGUCGUGGAUAGGUUCUCAAAAAUGGCACACUUUAUACCAUGUCAUAAAAGCGAUGAUUCUGUUAAUGUUGCUGAUUUGUUCUUUCGUGAAAUUAUUCGCUUGCAUGGUGUGCCAAAUACUAUUGUUUCAGAUCGUGAUACUAAAUUUCUUAGCCACUUUUGGAGAUGUUUAUGGGCUAAGUUGGGAACUAAGCUGCUUUUUAGUACUACUUGUCGCCCCCAAACUGAUGGACAAACUGAAGUAGUCAAUAGAACAUUGUCUACUAUGCUUAGCGCUGUUUUGAAGAAUAACAAGAAAAUGUGGGAAGAAUGCUUGCCUCAUAUUGAAUUUUCUUAUAAUCGUUCAAUGCAUUCUACUACUAAGAUGUGCCCUUUUGAAAUUGUGUAUGGUUUCCUACCUCGUGCACCUAUUGAUUUGUUGAUGAGGACAUCAAUACAAUUGUUACACCCACAGCCCCUGCUGCUAUACAUACUGGACCAAUUACUAGAGCUCGUGCACGCCAACUAAAUUACCAGGUACUUUCGUUUCUUGGUAAUGAUUCUAAUGUUCAUGAGAAUAUGAUGCUGCCUAAAUUGGAUACAUUUGUUUUGCUUACAAAUGAAGGGCCUAGCUUGGAGAAGGAUGAACAUUGGAGCAAGAACAAGCAUGGAGAUGAUGGCAUGCGCAAGGGGAACAAGAACGGAGUUACAAGUGAUGAUUUCAGGACUUUGAAGCCACCAUAAUGGGUGCAUGAAGCCUUGGACGAAAUAUACAAGAUGCCACUUCAUAAAUUUCGUCCCGAGGCUAUUUUAGGUGCUGCGUCACCUUAUUAUUGGGCCAGGCCCAUGUAAUUUCGAAAUACAUAAGUAUAGGCUAUUUUUAGAGUCCGUAUGUGUGGGGAAACAAGAGAUAGGGUUGAUUUCAGACCCCUCCACCAGGGGCCACGAAAUUCCCCCCCUCUUCCUCCAUAUAUACAGCCCUUAGGGCAUCGUUUAGACUUUGGGUUUGGUUUAGAUUAAAAGUUCUCCAUAGCUGCAACUUCGCGUACUUCGUUUGUGUUCAACGACCAGACAAAGGCGUCACAGAACCCCACCUUGAUCAAUAAAGCUUUCAUCUUAUAUUCGCAAUAUCCAGAUUGCAAUCUCAGUUUCUUGCUUGUUCUUCGUUUGCUCGUAGGAAAUAGACCCUCGUGGUCAGGUUGAUCGUGCUCCGGCGUGGUCAAUAACCUCUCGGAGUUGGUAUAGCGAUUGCUAAGGCGCGACGUCCUCGCACGUUCGUAGUCGGAUCGUCAAAGUCGACUGCCACCAAAGCGAUAUCCAUCAUCUCAUCGAAAGACGUGACACCUUUGCCUCUAUCAAGUGGUAUCAGAUUUCCAGGUUGCUCGGUGAGAUUUUACAGUUUUUCGUAGUUUAGAUCGAGUCUGUUCUUCAUACCUAUAGUCCACGAAAAACCCACAAAAAAAAUUAGGGUUAGUUCAUCAUAUACGAACCAAUCUGAGCCUUUGCAUAAUCUUUUUAGGGUUUUGCUUUGUUGAAUUUGCGGUUGCAUCGUCGUGUCUAGUUGCUGGUCUUAGAGUCUAGUCUUUUAGAGUUUCGAGUUCUGGUCAUAAGUUGUCACGCCGCCGCCGCACCAUCAUCAUCACCCCUGCCAUCUACCACCACCGCUUAUCCGCCACCGCUUCGAAUCCGUAUCCAUAUACCACCACAGCUAUCAUAUACCACCACCGCUGCCAUCUACCACCAUAUAUCCACCACCAAUCCGAGUUCUUGUCAUAUUAGGUUUGUUUUCGAGAUCCAUCUAGAUUCCGAUUCGUGUUUCCUUGCCGGAGUAGGUUUCGAAAAAAAAAGUCCGGAAACCACGCUCCGUUUAGGCCCAAAAUUUUUCGAAAACGCAUUUUUCGAAAAAAAAUUCUGGCUAUCCUAUUUUUAGGUGUUUCUGAGUGUUUUGAGACAGGUGCCAUUAUAGGAAGUUUUUUUUGACCCAUUUCCAGUUUUUGGGUCCGGGCAGUCAAAAAAAAAAUUGGUCGAAAAAAUUUCGUGCCCAUCCUGCCAGUUUGAGCUAGGAAGAGUUUUGAGACACUCGCCAUUAUAGUGAUUUUUCGCAAAAAAAAACAGCGCAAAAAAAAGAGCGCAAAAAAAAAGAGCGAAAAAAAAAUUCCAGAGUGUGCUUUUCCCUUGUUUACGUGCCGCGCCGUGAUUUUGUUGGUGUUCUAGGCUCGCUUCUCUAGCACAAUCUAGCCUAGGACUAGCACAGUACCGUCGUUGAGCGUUUAUUCAACUUUGCAUCUCUGAAUUGGUUAUUGCUGACCCUUUUUGCUACCAUAUUAUAAGCCUUCCCAGCUCCACAUACAUCUACGUCGUGCGUUUGACUCUCCAUGGUAAUCGCUCUAUCCAAGCUUUGAGAGUUUUUGACUACAACGGUUGCCGAUCACCGCCUGCUGCUAGGUAAGAACUGGUAAGAAUUUGAGAUUUGCUUGACGGAUUUGUGACACCCACCACCACCUCUUGUUAGUAGUCUGUAGGAUCAUAUUCUUGUGUGUUUCUAUUGCUGCUAACCAUGCCAGGAUCACAAGCCGACAAGACUGACUGGGAGAACAUGACGAAUAAGGACUUGCAUGAUAAAUUUCAGCAAAUGAUGAGUGAACAGGUGCAAGACGUGCUAAACAGAUUUGAAGAGGCCAUGGAGAAGAUAGAUGGCAUGGAGAAGACGUUCGAAACAAAGCUCGAUAACAAGUUUAAUGAAUUGCUCGCGCGUCUUCCACCACCACCACCCGCUGCACCUAACGCACCUCUCCAACAACAACAACAACGACUACCUCCACGUCGCGAAAUAGACCUCCGCCGAGCGAGCCGUGUUCCUCUUGCGUUUGGCCAAACUGUUGGUGCUGCUGUUGAUACUUCUGUGGCUCCUGCUGCUGAUGCGGAGGAGGAUGAUUAUGUGGGAGAUUACGAGGAUGAGGUUGCUCAAAAUCAGAACUACGUGCAACCACCAGCACCACCACCAGCAGGUCGACCUCAGGUAUAUAUUCGUAAUGGUAGGCCUGCACCACCACCUCAGGUACGAGAUGAUGUCCAUAUUCCUAAACUGAAAUUGAAUAUUCCACCAUUUGAGGGUAGAUAUGUUCCUGAUAUAUAUCUUACUUGGGAGUUAGAAACUGAACAACGUUUUACAUGUUUACAAUAUCCCGAGGAGAGACAGGUUGCUGCUGUUGUUUGUGCUUUCACUAGUUUUGCAUGUGUCUGGUGGUCUCAACAUUGUAGAUUAUAUCCUAUUCCAACUACUUGGGCUGCUUUGAAAACUGCUAUGCGUAUGCGUUGGGUUCCACCAUAUUAUCAACGUGAAUUGCUUCAAAAAUUGCAGCGUUUAAGACAAGGAAAAAAUUCUGUAGAAGAAUAUUAUUAGGAAUUACAAACUGGCAUGAUUCGAUGUGGUAUUGUUGAGUAGAAUGAAGCUAUGCUUGCACGUUUUCUGGGUGGAUUAAAUAGAGAGAUUCAGACCAUUCUAGACUGAUGCGUCCACUACUACAUUAGCAAAAGUUGAUCAAGCUACAAAUUCUAAUAUGAAAAUGAUGGGCGCCAUAGCACAUGAGAUUCCACCGGCACAUGAGAUUCCACCGGAAGAUGAUGUGAAACCCAACUUCAGAACGCCUCCACAGCAAAUUCUUAUUGGAUCGGUCCUCAUCAAUUAUUAUCCAGAGUCCUUGGAAAUAAAUCCCAGUGCACGACCCAGGAACCUAUCCGAAAAGCAUCAGGUUACCAAGAUGUAGCAAGUAUAUUUUAUGCGUGCGGCCUUCUAGUAUUUAGUUAAGAAAACGUGUCAGAGUUGGUAAGUACUAGGACGUGCUAGUACGGAGUACUACUAGUUGUUAGGGGUUAAAGCGUUUUUAAAUAGGGAAAGACCUUGCUGAUUAGGCAAGUAACAGAGUCCUGGUCGGUUAGUACUUAGAGCCUGCGCUCUCCUUAAAUAAAAGGAUACGGCCGUGUAACAAGAUCAGAUUGGUUUUUAGUCGUGAGUUACAUAAAGCUACAGAAAACGUCCCAUGUCGGGGGACAUCAAAUAUCUUUGUUGCUGAUCUGUGAGGAUUUUGUUGCUGCUGCGCGUGGAGUUGAUCUAAUCUACUCGACGCUAGUUUUGAUCUUACGGUCUUGCAUCUUCGCUUGACCGAAAUUUCUUAUUGCCACUGCCAGUACCGUGAAAGGUCGGGCCGACGAACGACUCGCCAUCUAGUCGAGUCUUUAUCAAGUGGUAUUCAGAGCUAAGGUUGUUCACGGUAUUGUGUUGAUCAAGAUGUCGACCUCGGUCAACAAGGAAGACGAGGUUGUUGCUAAUUCUCAGGAAAUUGUACGUCCAGUGUACGCGGAUGAUAUUCCUCAAAAUAUUCGGGACGGUUUUGACCACACAUGCAACUACAUCAAGCAAUGUCAUGAUGCGCUCGGCAAAAGGAUAGAUGUCCUGAUCACUCGGUUUGAUGGUUUGGCAGAUAUCAUCAAUAUGCCGGCAUCGAACUCUGCACCACCACAGACUGCUCCGGCUGCUCCACUGCAUUAUGCACCACCAGCUCGCGACGGACAUACCGGCGUGCAUGAUCGCCGUUUGGCGGCACACCCUAAUGCUGGAGAUGAUGGUUUCGAUGAUGGCAUUGACCAUGCGGGGUACGCGCCACGACCACGACACUAUGAGCCUCGUCCCGAAACAUCCGUUCGUGGUGGAGUGCAUGACCGAGUUGGUCAAGCUGUGCGUGUGCCUUUGGAUGAUGGAAUUGGGCGCAUAAAAAUUUCAAUCCCUUCGUUCUCCGGCAAGUGCGAACCAGAAGGCUAUUUGGAGUGGGAGAUGCGUGUUGAUCAAAUUUUUGAUGCCCAUCAUUAUAGCGAGGAGAAGAAAGUUCAACUUGCUGGAAUUGAGUUCACCGGAUACGCGCUAAUUUGGUGGAAUCAAAUUUGUCAUUCAAGACAUCGGCCGAUGACUUGGCGAGGUAUGAAAGAAUUCAUGAGGCGACGUUUUGUUCCUGAGCACUAUAAAAGAGAUAUGUACAACAAGUUGCAGCGGCUCUCUCAAGGUAAUAUGAGUGUUGAUGAAUAUUACAAGGAGAUGGAAUUGCUUAUGAUACGUACAGGGACAACGGAGGAUCCGGAGGCGACUAUGGCUCGUUUCUUUAACGGGCUAAAUAUCGAGGUGCAGGAUCGUGUUGAGAUGGUGGUCUACUACAACAUACAAGAUCUUGUGCACCAAGCUGUGUGUGCGGAACAACAGAUUAAGCGACGCCAAGUCAACAUUGUUCCCACUACCACUUUGAACACAUGGCGACGCUCGCAGUAUAAGAGUGAGGAUGUCGGUCCUAGCUCCAGGGCGACAUCAUCAAAUUGCUCUCAUGGUUCUGUGCAAAAGGAUGCUUCAAAAUCAGGACUGUCGAUGGUUGAUUCUAGUGCACAGUCGACCGAACGCACUAGUGACAUAGAGUGUUUCAAGUGUGGAGGAAGGGGACAUAUGAAGCGUGAAUGUCCUAAUGAGAAAAGAGUGUUGCUCACGAGAGAUGGCUAUGCAUCCGCUAGUGAUGAAGAGGCAGUUUCUGACACUUCUGGUGAAAAAUCUGAAGAUGUUGAAGAUGUGGUUGCGAGUUUUGAAGCUGCUGAAUCAUAUCCAUCUUUGAUGGUUCAACGGGUGCAAGAAGAUCGCAUUGAGGAUAAGGGGCAACGAUGGAAUAUUUUUCAAACUCAAUGCAAAAUCAACAACACUAAUUGUAAGUUGAUCACAGAUGGAGGAAGCUACACCAACGCAGUCAGUAAGGGAUUGGUGGAAGCUUUGGGGUUACCUGCAUGGAAGCACCCUCAGCCACACCGUGUUGAGUGGUUAUAUCAGUCUGGCAAACUGAAAGUUACUCACAAGGUGCGUGUCCGUUUUUCUGUUGGCGACUAUAUCGAUACAAUUAUCUGUGAUGUGUUGCCAAUGGAUGCAUGUCAUUUGUUACUGGGGAGACCAUGGCAAUAUGAUCGUUGUGCCACACACGAAGGCCGGUCCAACACUUACUCCUUUUGGGAUGCUGGAAGACGACGUGUGUUGCGGACUAUGUUUGCGGGAGAAAUCAAAAUAGAUACAAAUGUUUCAUUGGAAAAGAAGGUCAUGAAGUUUAGCGCAAAACCGAGGACGGUUUUGUUUCAAGGAGGAGGGGAUGAUGCGUCCACUACUACAUUAGCAAAAGUUGAUCAAGCUACAAAUUCUAAUAUGAAAAUGAUGGGCGCCAUAGCACAUGAGAUUCCACCGGCACAUGAGAUUCCACCGGAAGAUGAUGUGAAACCCAACAUCAGAACGCCUCCACAGCAAAUUCUUAUUGGAUCGGUCCUCAUCAAUUAUUAUCCAGAGUCCUUGGAAAUAAAUCCCAGUGCACGACCCAGGAACCUAUCCGAAAAGCAUCAGGUUACCAAGAUGUAGCAAGUAUAUUUUAUGCGUGCGGCCUUCUAGUAUUUAGUUAAGAAAACGUGUCAGAGUUGGUAAGUACUAGGACGUGCUAGUACGGAGUACUACUAGUUGUUAGGGGUUAAAGCGUUUUUAAAUAGGGAAAGACCUUGCCGAUUAGGCAAGUAACAGAGUCCUGGUCGGUUAGUACUUAGAGCCUGCGCGCUCCUUAAAUAAAAGGAUACGGCCGUGUAACAAGAUCAGAUUGGUUUUUAGUCGUGAGUUACAUAAAGCUACAGAAAACGUCCCAUGUCGGGGGACAUCAAAUAUCUUUGUUGCUGAUCUGUGAGGAUUUUGUUGCUGCUGCGCGUGGAGUUGAUCUAAUCUACUCGACGCUAGUUUUGAUCUUAUGCUCUUGCAUCUUCGCUUGACCGAAAUUUCUUAUUGCCACUGCCAGUACCGUCAAAGGUCGGGCCGACGAACGACUCGCCAUCUAGUCGAGUCUUUAUCAUAGACUAUAAGGAGUAUACUAAUAUCACUCGUUUAUUCCAUCUUGCUUGUAAAGCUGAACGUGAAGUGCAGGAUCGACAAGCAUUGGCGCGAACUAACUUUUCUGCAGGCCGACCUUCAUCAUGGACACCGCGUGCAUCUUCUACUUCAACUGCACCAGCACCUCAAUUAGGUGCCUCCUACAGCCGUGAUACAAGAAAACAGGAACAACCACCAUUAUCUGCCAAGAGCGCACCUGCCGGGCCUGCAUAGAGUUCUUCUUCUUUCAAGGCAUCAAAAGGGCACACAAGUGAUAUUAUUUGUCGUUGUUGUAAGGGAGGAGGUCAUUAUGCGAGAGAAUGCAAAUCUCCGCGUGUGAUGAUUGCUACCGAGGGUGGUGGAUAUGAGUCCGCUAGUGACUAUGAUGAGGAGACAUUGGCUCUUAUUACACGUGAAGAACAUGGUGGAGAUGAUUCUGAUCAUGAGACGCAAUACAUGGCUCCUGAAGACGCUGACAGGUAUGAAUGUUUAGUUGCUCAACGUGUUUUGAGUGUGCAGGUUACACAAGCUGAGCAAAAUCAGAGGCACAAUUUGUUCCAUACCAAGGGAGUUGUGAAGGAACGUUCUGUGCGCGUCAUAAUAGACGGAGGGAGCUGCAACAACUUGGCUAGCAUGGAGAUGGUUGAGAAGCUUUCUCUCACCACAAGACCACAUCCACAUCCUUACUACAUCCAAUCGUUCAACAACAGUGGCAAGGUUAAGGUAACACGUACUGUUCGUGUGCAUUUUAGUAUCUCUACAUAUGCUGAUUAUGUUGAUUGUGAUGUGGUACCUAUGCAAGCAUGUUCCUUAUUACUUGGUAGACCAUGGCAAUUUGAUAAAAAUUCUGUACACCAUGGUAGAAACAAUCACUAUACUCUUGUUCAUAAGGAUAAAAAUAUUACUUUGCUUCCUAUGACUCCUGAUUCCAUUUUGAAAGAUGAUAUUAAUAGAGCUAAUAAAGCAAAACAGGAGAAUAAUAAGAGUGAAAAUCAGAUUGUGGCAAAAGAAUUUGAGCAACAAAUGAAGCCUAAUAAAAAACCAUCUAGUGUUGCUUCUGAAAUUAAAUUGAAAAGUGCAUGUUUAUUUGCCACCAAAUCUGAUAUUGAUGAGCUAGAUUUCAGCAACUCUGUUUGCUUUGCUUUUGUGUGCAAAGAGGCAUUAUUUUCAUUCGAGGACGUGCCUUCCUCUUUGCCUCCUGCUGUCACUAACAUUUUGCAGGAGUUCGCUGACGUUUUUCCACAAGACGUGCCACCGGGAUUACCGCCUAUUCGAGGGAUUGAGCAUCAGAUUGACUUAAUUCCCGGUGCUUAACUGCCAAACCGUGCACCAUACCAUACCAAUCCAGAGGAGACGAAGGAGAUUAUGCGUCAAGUACAAGAGCUUCUCGACAAAGGUUAUAUACGCGAAUCCCUUAGUCCUUGUGCUGUUCCUAUUAUUCUAGUGCCGAAAAAGGAUGGUACAUCACGUAUGUGUGUUGAUUGUAGAGGCAUAAAUAAUAUAAUAUUCGUUAUCGUCAUCCUAUUCCUAGGCUAGAUGAUAUGCUUGAUGAAUUGAGUGGCUCUACAAUAUUCUCCAAAGUUGAUUUGCGUAGUGGCUACCAUCAAAUUCGUAUGAAAUUGGGAGAUGAAUGGAAAACAACAUUUAAAACUAAGUUUGGAUUAUAUGAGUGGUUAGUCAUGCCUUUUGGGUUAACUAAUGCACCUAGUACUUUCAUGAGAUUAAUGAACGAAGUUUUACGUGCUUUCAUUGGACGAUUUGUGGUAGUUUACUUUGAUGACAUAUUGAUUUAUAGCAGAUCUUUGGAAGAACAUUUAGAACAUUUACGUGCUGUUUUUAUUGCUCUACGUGAUGCACGUUUGUUUGGUAACCUUGGGAAGUGCACCUUUUGCACCGACCGAGUAUCUUUUCUUGGCUAUGUUGUUACUCCACAGGGAAUUGAAGUUGAUAAAGCCAAGAUUGAAGCUAUUGAGAGUUGGCCGCAGCCCAAAACGGUCACACAAGUGAGGAGUUUUCUUGGCCUCGCUGGAUUCUAUAGGCAUUUUGUGAGAGAUUUCAGCACCAUUGCUGCACCUCUCAAUGAGCUUACAAAGAAAGAUGUGCCUUUUCUUUGGGGUACCGCACAGGAAGAAGCCUUCACGGUAUUGAAAGAUAAGUUGACACAUGCUCCUUUAGUCCAACUUCCUGAUUUUAAUAAGACUUUUGAGCUUGAAUGUGAUGCUAGUGGAAUUGGAUUAGGAGGUGUGUUAUUACAAGAUGGCAAACCUGUUGCAUACUUUUCUAAAAAAUUGAGUGGGCCUAGUCUGAAUUAUUCUACUUAUGAUAAAGAAUUAUAUGCUCUUGUUCGGACUUUAGAAACAUGGCAACAUUAUUUAUGGCCCAAAGAAUUUGUUAUACAUUCUGAUCAUGAAUCUUUGAAACAUAUUAAAAGUCAAGCUAAACUGAAUCGUAGACAUGCUAAAUGGGUUGAAUUCAUUGAGACUUUCCCUUAUGUCAUUAAACACAAGAAGGGGAAAGAAAAUGUUAUUGCUGAUGCAUUGUCUCGUCGCUAUACUAUGCUUUCACAACUUGACCAUCAAAGAUCAAUAUGUGCAUGAUGCUGAUUUUAAAGAUGUAAUGCAGAAUUAUAAAGAAGGAAGAAUGUGGAACAAGUUUGUUGUUAACGAUGGAUUUGUGUUUCGUGCUAACAAGCUAUGCAUUCCAGCUAGCUCCGUUCGUCUUUUGUUGUUGCAGGAGGCGCAUGGAGGAGGAUUAAUGGGACACUUUGGCGUGAAGAAGACGGAGGAUGUACUUGCUACACAUUUCUUUUGGCCAAAGAUGAGACGGGAUGUUGAGCGUUUUAUUGCUCGCUGCACUACAUGUCAAAAAGCUAAGUCACGACUCAAUCCUCAUGGUUUUUAUAUGCCUUUGCCUGUACCUAGUGUUCCUUGGGAGGAUAUAUCUAUGGACUUUGUUUUAGGUUUACCUCGAACAAAGAAGGGGAGGGAUAGCAUAUUUGUUGUCGUGGAUAGAUUCUCGAAAAUGGCACACUUUAUACCAUGUCAUAAAAGCGAUGAUGCUGUUAAUGUUGCUGAUUUGUUCUUUCGUGAAAUUAUUCGCUUGCAUGGUGUGCCAAAUACUAUUGUUUCAGAUCGUGAUACUAAAUUUCUUAGCCACUUUUGGAGAUGUUUAUGGGCUAAGUUGGGGACUAAACUGCUUUUUAGUACUACUUGUCACCCCCAAACUGAUGGACAAACUGAAGUAGUCAAUAGAACGUUGUCUACUAUGCUUAGGGCUGUUUUGAAGAGUAAUAAGAAAAUGUGGGAGGAAUGCUUGACUCAUAUUGAAUUUGCUUAUAAUCGUUCAUUGCAUUCUACUACUAAGAUGUGCCCGUUUGAAGUUUUGUAUGGUUUCCUACCUCGUGCACCUAUUCAUUUGAUGCCUCUUCCAUCUUCGGAGAAGGUUAAUUUUGAUGCUAAACAACGUGCUGAAUUGAUUUUAAAAAUGCAAGAGUUAACUAAGGAAAACAUUGAGCGUAUGAAUGCUAAAUAUAAACUUGCUGGAGAUAAGGGUAGAAAACAUGUUGUGUUUGCACCUGGAGAUCUUGUUUGGUUACAUUUGCGUAAGGAUAGAUUUCCUGAUUUGCGCAAAUCAAAGUUAAUGCCACGUGCUGAUGGUCCCUUUAAGGUGUUAGAGAAAAUAAAUGAUAAUGCAUAUAAACUUGAGCUGCCUGCAGAUUUUGGGGUUAGUCCCACUUUUAACAUUGCAGAUUUGAAGCCUUUUUGGGUGAGGAAGAUGAACUUCCGUCGAGGACGACUUCAUUUCAAGAAGGGGAGGAUGAUGAGGACAUCAAUACAAUUGUUACACCCACAGCCCCUGCUGCUAUACAUACUGGACCAAUUACUAGAGCUCGUGCACGCCAACUAAAUUACCAGGUACUUUCGUUUCUUGGUAAUGAUUCUAAUGUUCAUGAGAAUAUGAUGCUGCCUAAAUUGGAUACAUUUGUUUUGCUUACAAAUGAAGGGCCUAGCUUGGAGAAGGAUGAACAUUGGAGCAAGAACAAGCAUGGAGAUGAUGGCAUGCGCAAGGGGAACAAGAACGGAGUUACAAGUGAUGAUUUCAGGACCUUGAAGCCACCAUAAUGGGUGCAUGAAGCCUUGGACGAAAUAUACAAGAUGCCACUUCAUAAAUUUCGUCCCGAGGCUAUUUUAGGUGCUGCGUCACCUUAUUAUUGGGCCAGGCCCAUGUAAUUUCGAAAUACAUAAGUACAGGCUAUUUUUAGAGUCCGUAUGUGUGGGGAAACAAGAGAUAGGGUUGAUUUCGGACCCCUCCACCAGGGGCCACGAAAUUCCCCCCCUCUUCCUCCAUAUAUACAGCCCUUAGGGCAUCGUUUAGACUUUGGGUUUUGUUUAGAUUAAAAGUUCGCCAUAGCUGCAACUUCGCGUACUUCGUUUGUGUUCAACGACCAGACGAAGGCGUCACAGAACCCCACCUUGAUCAAUAAAGCUUUCAUCUUAUAUUCGCAAUAUCCAGAUUGCAAUCUCAGUUUCUUGCUUGUUCUUCGUUUGCUCGCAGGAAACAGACCCUCGUGGUCAGGUUGAUCGUGCUCCGGCGUGGUCAAUAACCUCUCGGAGUUGGUAUAGCGAUUGCUAAGGCGCGACGUCCUCGCACGUUCGUAGUCGGAUCGUCAAAGUCGACUGCCACCAAAGCGAUAUCCAUCAUCUCAUCGAAAGACGGGACACCUUUGCCUCUAUCAUUUGUUGCCUCUUCCAUCUUCGGAGAAGGUUAAUUUUGAUGCUAAAGAACGUGCUGAAUUGAUAUUAAAAAUGUGUGAGUUAACUAAGGAAAACAUUGAGCGUAUGAAUGCUAAAUAUAAACUUGCUGGAGAUAAGGGUAGAAAACAUGUUGUGUUUGCACCUGGAGAUCUUGUUUGGUUAAAUUUGCGUAAGGAUAGAUUUCCUAAUUUGCCUAAAUCAAAGCUAAUGCCACGUGCUGAUGGUCCUUUUUAGGUGUUAGAGAAAAUAAAUGAUAAUGCAUAUAAACUUGAACUGCCUGCAAAUUUUGGGGUUAGUCCCACUUUUAACAUUGCAGAUUUGAAGCCUUAUUUGGGAGGACGAUGAACUUUCGUCGAGGACGACUUCAUUUCAAGAAGGGGAGGAUGAUGAGGACAUCAAUACCAUUGUUACACCCACAGCCCGUGCUGCUAUACAUACUGGACCAAUUACUAGAGCUCGCGCACGGCAAUUGAAUUAUCAGGUACUUUCGUUUCUUGGUAACGAUUCUAAUGUUCAUGAGAAUAUGAUGCUGCCUAAAUUGGAUACAUUUGUCUUGCUUACAAAUGAAGGGCCUAGCUUGGACAAGAAAGAUAAACCUUGGAACAAGUUCAAGCGUGGAGAUGAUGGCAUGCGCAAGGGGAUCCAGAACGGAGUUACAAGUGAUGAUUUCAGGACUUUGAAGCCACCAUAAGGAGUGCAUGAAGCCUUGGACGAAAUAUACAAGAUGCCACUUCAUAAAUUUUGUCCAGAGGCUAUUUUAGGUGUUGCGUCAUCUUAUUAUUGGGCCAGGCCCAUGUAUUUUCGAAAUACUUAAGUAUAGGCUGUUUUUAGAGUCCGUAUGUGUGGGGAAACAAGAAUUAGGGUUGGUUUCGGACCCCUCCUCCAAGGGCCGCGAAAUUCCCCCUCUUCCUCCAUAUAUACAGCCCUUAGGGCGUCGUUUAGAUUUUGGGUUUUGUUUAGAUUAAAAGUUCGCCAUAGCUGCAACUUCGCGUACUUCGUUUGUGUCCAACGACCAGACCAAGACGUCACAGAACCCCACCUUGAUCAAUAAAGCUUUCAUCUUAUAUUCGCAAUAUCCAGAUUGCAAUCUCAAUUUCUUGCUUGUUCUUCGUUUGCUCGCAGGAAACAGGCCCUCGUGGUCAGGUUGAUCGUGCUCCAGCGUGGUCAAUAACCCCUCGGAGUUGGUUUAGCGAUUGCUAAGGCGCGACGUCCUCGCACGUUCGUAGUCGGAUCGUCAAAGUCGACUUCCUCUAAAACGAUAGCCACUAUCUCAUCGAAAGAUGGGACACCUUUGCCUCUAUCAAUAUACCAUAUAUACUUCCGCAUACCCCCACCACUUCCGCAUAACCCAACCAUUUUUAUACCGUUUCGCUCUCCGACACAAUUGCUACUUCGAGGUUUGAGAAUUUGAGUUGCAGUACCGUAUCCUUUUGUGUUUCGGCUAUCUAGGUACGGUUCGACAUCGACUUCAUCGCCGCUCAUCUUCGCCACGAACACGUCAUCAACAACGACCACCUCGACUACAACUUGGUAUUCGUGCCACCAUUUUGACACCAUACCGGAAGCAAGACCGGUAACCUCAUCUUGGUAUUGGACAUAUCAUUCUUGCCAUGAGAUUGAUAGCCAUCAUAGCCUUACUCCCUUGCGUUGCUUACCCUUCGAGACUAGCCAUUGAGUAUUGCCGGCAACGAGACUUGUGCACAUUAGUGAUCGUACUUCCCAUACCAUACAUACAUCACUGUUGGAUAUCUUGGUAUCAUCUCUUGUGUCACAAAGUUGUCAUCGCAUACUCAUUUGCUAUCUUGGUUCAUCAAGCAUUGCAUGAGAAAAGAGCUCAAACAUCAAAGAGCCAAACAAGCUUUUAAGCAAAGAGAAAAGAUAAACAAAGAACUUUUAAGCAAGAACCAUAGCAUCUCACAUGAUGCGGAGCAUCCCAAUAUCAUCCCCAUGGACGCACCCACACCUCCAACGGCACCACUUGGACCAAUGACACGAGCCCGAGCUAAAGCUAUCGAAGAUAAGGUGAACUCACUCCUCUCUGAACUUCCACUUUAUAUGCAUGAGACAUGGCUACUACCUAAGUCCGAGGUGUUGUGCAUGAUUAGGUACCAAGAGGGUCCUCCCGAAGAUGCGCAUGAAGAUGUACAAGUCCCCAAGUCCACGGAUGAGGAGAACCAACGGAAGGACAUCUGGCCCCUCAAGCCCGGACAUCCGGCACUUCCCGAGGUCCCGGAUAUCCGGCCCCCUGCCCGGAAAUCCAGACCCCCCCGAACCCGAGAGCAACAUGGCCAGCUUCACCAGCCCGGACAUCCGGCCUCCAUAGCCCGGACAUCCGUCCCUCCGCGAACGCCCGGACAUCCGGCCCGAUGCCCGAACGUCCGGCCUCCCUGUUUGUGAACAGUAAAGGGCCGAGGCCCGUGUACCCCUUCUACCCCCUAGACUAUAUAUACUCUAUCCCGUACAACUUUCUAGGGUUAGCGUCCGAGUAAUUGGACACGGAUACCCCGAAGACGGCGAGACAAGAAUUCAAGACAUCGGGGCUAGCAAAGCCCCUUAGUCCAACUACCUGGCCGGCGGCUGACUGCUGGCUGCUGACUGCUCCACCAGGCCGACUGCUGGCUGCCGACUACUGGCUGCCGACUGCUGGCUACUGACUGCUCCACUAGGCCGACUGCUGGCUGCUGACUGCUCCACCAGGUCGACUGCUGGCUGCCGACUGCUGGCUGCUGACUGCUCCACCCGGCCGACUGCUGGCUGCCGACUGCUCCACCAGGCCGACUGCUGGCUACCGACUCCUCCACCAGGCUGACUGCUGGCUGCCGACUCCUCCACCAGGCCGACUGCUGGCUGCCUACUCCUCCGCCAGGCCGACUGCCCGAAGUCAACUACAGCCUGACGAGACACAGACGGGACGACCAUACCGUGAUGUCAUCUAUAGUGUACUGUGUCCCCUGGGUACUGAUUUAUAAAAUACCCCAGGGGACAAGCAUGACAUGCACCAUGCCACUAGCCAUGCCUACAUAGCUUGGCUUGUAAGCUACCCAAGGUAGCUUACAACCAAAGCCACUACCACCCAUGCCAACUCCUAUAUAUAUAGGCACACAUCCAUCCAUCAGGGGAUGGACUCACACACCCACACACACACACAAGCAAGCUAGCUAGCAAGAGAGCUAGCUAGCAAGCCAUCCACACACAUGCAUGAGCAUACACAUGCUCACGGCCAUGAGCCAUGAGCAUCGCCGGCCACUAGAGCAUGCCACAUUGAUGAGGACAUGACUACCUUGGAUAUCACCUGACAAAUAUGCCUUGAUAGAGGCGGGGGUGUCCCGAUCUUUCGAUGAGAUGAUAACUAUCGAUUUGGUGGAGACGACUUUGACAAUCCGACUACGAACGUGCACAACGUUGCGCCUUAGCAAUCGCUAAACCAAUCUCCUGAGAUUACUGACGAUGCUGGAAGCACGGUCAGCCUGACCACGAAGGUCUAUUCCUGCAAGCAAUCGAAGAAUGAGCAAGAAUAUGAUAAAGCAAUCUGAAUAUUGCAAAUAUAUAUGAAGUAUUGUUGGUGGGGAUCCGGAAGCGGUCUUGGUCUGGUCGUUGGACACAAACGAAGUACACGAAGUUGCAAUGGCUAACUUUUAACUAAACAAAUCCCAAGGAAAAGCUACUAGAUGGAUCUACUUAUAUAGGAGCAAGGGGUGGUGGCCAAGGAGGUGGGAGGACGUCCCAAGGCAGCCUAAAACUAAAUCUAGGUCGUAUAAGACCAAUGGGCCCAAGUGGAGGUGAUGUAACACCUUUGGACUUGUAGUUUGACUCGGAUUCUGCUGCAGCAUCAGAUUGUUUCGUCCACAACUCAACACUCCGGACGAAUUUGAAGGUGAUUCCAAUUGGGUUGGAAAGUGCACGAAAUCUAGUUUCCAACAAAAAAAGAAUCACCCAAUUCGGAGUCCGUAUGAAAAACUUGUGUGCGUUUUGAGUCAGGUGUGUCUGUGCAGUCCGAAUCUGAAUCCAGAACGUGAGAGACUUGGACUCUAUCUUCUCUUGGGCCAAAAGUGACGUGAGAGAACUUUUUGGAGAGCAAAUAAACAUCUCUUUCUUCCUUAUCUUCAUAUGUGGAUUGUACAAAUGUCCCAUACACCUGCAAUUAGACAAAACACAAAAGUGUGUGAAGUAUUUUUGUUCUGGAUAACAUAAAUAGAUUAUUGAAUAGUUUGCACUAGAAAUCACAUGACAAAUAUGCAUAUAUGCAAUAUUUUUGGUCAUAUCCAAGGUAGUCAUGUCCUCAUCAUCCUCCCCUUCUUGAAAAUAAAGCCGUCCUCGGCGUUGCUUAAUCUGAAAUGUGGCUAACAAAAGAGACAAGGUGUACAUGUUGUAUAUGUAUAUGUCAUCCAUUUUUACUUCCCUUGAUUUUUGCAUAUAUGACACAUGAAUAGAUGAGUAACUUGCAUAGUUCAUAAAAUCUAAAGCCAAAAAAUUAGCACAAGAAGUAGAAGGCAUGAAAAUAUUGCAACUCAGUUUGCACAUAUAAGUGAAGCUCUUAUUCAUUUCAAAAGAUUGACAAUGUUCAUCAUUAAACCAUCCCAACAUUGGUGAAUAGACCUUACUUGCAUCAAAUUUACAUGCUACAACAUGCUUAAAUAAGCAAACAUGCAAUAAGUCAUUCAACACAGAAUCAUCACCAAGAUUAGAGGUCAUAUCGAAAUGAUUAAACAUUGGUUCUUUUGCAUCAAUAGUUAAUUCAAUGGGUGCACUCAAAAUUGUUGGUAUUUCAGUUGUUUGAUCACAUGACAAAGUCAAAUUAUCAACGUAGUCCUCUAAAAUAGGUGGUGUGAUCAAAGUGGUGGGUAGCUCAUCAGAUGGUGCAUUCAAAUUGACAAGGCAUUCAUCAUUCUCAUGUAGAGAUGGAAGAUCAGUACCUUUGUCAUUACCUCUUAUGAUCAACUCAGAUGAUGUAGCCACUCUCGGGGGCGAUGUGUCACAUGGUGGAGGUGAUGUAGUCCUGACAACAACGGAUGUGGUUGUCAUAGUAUGCCUAGUAGUUGAAGGAACAAUCAUAUCAACUCUUGGAAUGUGCACUGUGCGCUUGUUCUCCUCGUGGCCAACACGUCGUUUUAUUUCAUGUUCAGCUUUGCAAGCAAGAUGAAACAAAUGGUCCAUAGGAUAACACUCUUCAUGAAUUAGUAUCUCUUGAAUAUCAUGGUUUAAUCCUCCCCAAAAUCUAUCCAUAAAAUCAUCUUCACUUUCUUCUAAAGAGGAAUGCAACAAGGUAGUUUGUAAAUCAUCAUAAUAUUUUGUUACAGUUUCACUACCUUGUUUUAAGUGUUGCAACUUCUUAAUCAUGUCACGAGUAUAAUAAGCAGGGACGAAAGUAUGUCGCAUGGCAAGUUUCAAAUCAUCCCAAGUAGUAGGUAUAUAAUCAGGGUGUAACCGAAAAUAUUCACUCCACCAAACCAAAGCAUAACCAGUGAAAGAACCAACCGCAACCUUAACCUUUUUAUGUUCAUUGAAAUUAUGGAAAGCAAAUAUAUUUUUUAUGUCGAACUGCCAUUCAAUAUAUAAAGCAGGUUUAAAACGGCCAUUAAAUGGUGGUAUAGAUACAUUAACCUGAUCAUGUGCAUUUGGAUGUUUGUGCACCUCUCGUGACGGUUGUGGUAUUUGCAAAGGUGGUGGCACGUCUCCCGCGAUCGACAAAGCCCAUGAAUUGACUCUGGAUCCUGUCAUGAUUAGUAGAACAAGAAACAAAACCCAAAAAUAAUGUUCCUAUAACUACUAGGAUGUGGUGGUAAAACGCUCACAGUAAAGCAAAUAUCAAUGUCUUACAAGUUCUUACCAUGCAGCAGGCGGUGAUCGGCAACCAGUGGUGUCAAGUAACUCCGAAUAUUGAGUAAAGCGAUUGCCAGGAGAGCGUACAUAUACACGGUGUAGAAAUAUGUGGAGCUGGGUUGGCUAUAUAUGGUAGCAAAAGAUUAGCAAUAAUCAAUUCAAAGAUGCAAUGUUGAAUAAACGCUCAACGACGGUACUGUGCUGGUCCUAGGCUAGACCGGACUAGAGACGCGAGCCUAGAACACUAAUGAGGUCACGGCAUAGCACAACUAGCAUCAAUGAAGGAUACUAAGUAGCUCUUAACAGCAAGAUAUAAGUGAAGAUCACAACGGCAGUGAAGAUAAUGAUGAAAAACAACUGCCAAGCAGGAUAUACAACAACUCUCUCUCCAACUUUCCUCUUGAAAAGUUUGAGACAAUUUUCUGAUAAAUUCUUUCAAAGAAUGCUACUAACUCAAGCUUUCCAAUGCAAAAAGAAUCACUCAAUUCCGAGUUGAUAUGAGGAGUCAAAGAAUUCUAAAACUGGCCUGAAAAAUUGGAACAAGUUGUGUUCACAAACUUCGGAACGCAAAAAGACCUAUUUAGAAGCCGAUUUUGAGGUGUCAAAUAUUGAACUAGCUUCUGCAACUAUUUAGAUGCGGCUCGUCGCUAUCUUCAAUUUGAGUACUCACGGAGCCAAAACUGACUUCGUAUGAGGAAGAUACACCUGUUUUACUGAACAGUGCGCAAAACAGAUUCCAAUCCGAAUUCAGGUACGAGAUUGAUUCUAGAUAGAUCCAAUUUUUUUUUCUUCUCUCUUUUUUUUCUCACGCCUUUUUUUUCUCUUUUUUUUCUUUAUCUUCUUUUUCUCCCUCUUUCCAAGACAAACUAGAUAAGAUGCAGAUUCGAUCAGGCGAAGAUGUGAGUGACCUCAACUAUGAUUAUGACAAUAAACAGUGCGAAACACAUUGUGGAAAUUGGUGGAUGGGAUGGUGGACAGCGGAUGGGAUAAUGAUGCAGCGGCUGCGUAACUAAUGUGAACAGAACUCGAAACUCUAAAGAAACUAGACACUAAGACCAGCAACUCGACACGGCGAUGCAACCGAUAAUUCAAUAAUGCAAACAAUUAAAAGAAAAUUGCAAAGGCUCAGUCUGGCUAGGACAAAGGAUGAAUAGAUCUAACUUUUGUUUUGUGGCUUUUUCUUGGACAAUAGGUAAGAAAAUAAAUCUAAUCUAGGAAAAACUGGAAAUUCUCACCGAGCAACCUGAAAACUGAUACCACUUGAUAGAGACGGGGGUGUCCCGAUCUUUCGAUGAGAUGAUAACUAUCGAUUUGGUGGAGACGACUUUGAC
rnacentral:lncRNA from 1 species